AAGAAGAAGAAGAAGAAGUAACUCCAAAUGAAUAAUCAACGCGCUCGCGUCAAGUGACCUUUACCUGAACCUGCAACUGGUGUUGUAGUAAUCUGUGAGCCACAGGGGACUCAGCAAUCUCAUUUCCAAAGGUAUCAAGACUAGCAAAGCUUAAUGGGUGAGGUAUGGUUAAGUGGUGAGGUUGCAGCAGCGACUAAGCAUAUAUUUGGUGGCUAACUUAUGAGUACCAGAAAUAAGAGGGGGAAGAACUACGCAUAGCGGACGUGAACUACAGAUGACCAAAUGAAUGAUCCUGAACACCUACCUACGUCAGACAUAACCCCACCGUGUCCUCGAUCGGAGAAGGAACUCACGAAAGAGACAGUCACGGUUACGCACACGGUUGGCAUAUUUUAAUUAAGUUAACUUCAAGUUAUCUAGAACCAGUGUUAAACAAAGCUUCCACGUUGCCACAUAACCGCGGGCACGGCUUUCCGAAAGAUUUAACCCUGCAGGGGUGCUCCAACUAGUCCAUCAAAAAUUACCACAAGCCGCAUAGAAAUCCUCAAUCACGAAGCUUGCGAUCUCGUCGGAUUCCCUAGUGGAAAACCUCAACUCUGAGAUUACCCAAAGCAUCACCGGAAUCCCGAUGCACAAGAUAUCUCGUCAAAGGUAAAACUAAACCAGCAAGGCCGCCCGACGUGUCGACGAUCCCGAUAGGAGUCGCGUACCUCGUUCUCAGGACACGACGGAUGAGCGAUGGUUACCACGCCAAACGCCGAGUUGCCCCGGGUAGCGUUAAUAAGCUGCUCUGUUUUGGACCAACACUCAUGAGGAGCACUGGCCCGGGGGUUGAUUAAAUUAUCCUCGGGGUCCGGAAAGUCCCUAUGCAAAUUAUUAGGUGGUUAGGCAAAUGUAGUACCAAUGUUGGGCCUUGCCAGACCAGCUUUAAUCUAAACGAAUUAUCAAGGGGGUCCCCAUAACAACCCCGAUCGUGUUAGGAGCGCUCGAUUAUGGAACAUAACACCGGUAGCCGAAACUAAGGGGGCAAAGGUGGAACAAAACACCAGGCUAGAAAGGCCGAGCCUUCCACCUUUUACCAAGUAUAUAGGUCCAUUAAAUUAAAUAACAUUUAAUAUGGUGAUAUAACAAGGAACCCAUGCUUUGCAUGGAAGCAACUGCACCUGCAACUAGCAACGCUAUCAACAGGGUUAAGCAAGGUUUGCUAGGUUGAACAGGUAGCAGUAACAUAGCCAAUCAGUGGUUUGCUAGGUUGAACAGGUUGAAGGUUUCAUGGCAUUGUUGAGAGGCUGAUAAUUAACAUGUGGUAGGCAACGAGACAUAAUCGGUAGAAGCGGUAAAACUAGCAUGGCAAUGAUAGUAAUGGUAUCUAGGGAAAUGAUCAUCUUGCCUGAGAUCCCGCUUGGAAGAAGAAUGACUCCGUGAAGCAGACGAACCGACGUAGUCGAACGGUCCUCACAUCCGACACGCUUGCGGAACUCUAUCGAGACGGAGGGAAACGGAAACAAGCAUCAACACACGAUAUUCUCCACGGCAAAAGCAAGACAUGAUGCACACCCUAAUAUGAUGCAUGAACAGAUCAAUGAUGCAAGUGAUGGCAUGGCAAUUCACCUCACGCAAACACUACACAUUAAAUGAGGCUCGAUAUGCAACGAUUUGCAUACCGACGAAACUCCACGAUUAAUUAAUUAGUUCACUCCCGAUUAUUUACACGGCAAUAUUAAAUUGUAGUUAACAUGACAAGGGGUGAAGCGGGUGAUUCUACCUGUCAUCCUAGUCGGUUAACAUGUGGAACAUAGAACGGAGCUACGUUUCAAGAGACAUGCACAACAUGAAGCACUAACUAAAAUGAUGCAUGGAUGCUCAAGCCCUAACUAUGCACUUACACCAACCUACAAAGGUAAACAAGUGCCACCUCAUCACGAAGUGACACUUCUGCAGAACUGCUCAAAAUUGGAAACUAGUGCCUCCAUUGGAUUCGUGAGGUUUUUCUACCCCAAAUCCAUAUAUCAUACUGCCCAUAUGCAUGAAGAAAAACACCACAAACAGCAAAGGGAAAACUACACAGGAUCAAACUCCGCUAAUAACAAGAACAGGGGGCUGUUCUUGAUAUGCCAGAUUUGGCAUAUUCCUCCUCUGGAAUAUUCCAGAUUUCGAAUUACAUCACAAAUACUACAAAAAAAAUAAAUCAUAUAAUCAUCAGGGGUCCCACUGGCCAUACUCACCAGGGCCCCUAGUGGGUGUAUGCAAGUGGGCCUAGAACCCACAACACACACACACACAUCCACACUCACACAAAUUAAAAGAAAAAAAGGUGUAGGUGGGGGGGGGGGAUCGAACCCUGCACCUCCUGGUUGUAGUCUAACAACCCGACCAGCUAGGCUACAAUUGACAAGUGAUAGAGGAUGGGUUUGGCGCACUAUGGCACAUCCGUUCGAGUUGAUCUAAACGAAACUGAGCCAACCCACAAAGUUGCUCGCGAGCUAAAAUAGAUAGAGCACAAAAAUAAAUCUGGAGGCGCUAGGGAUUGAUCCCAGGACCUCACGGUUGCUACCGAGCGCGCUGACCAGCUGGGCUACGGCCGACUUUGCUACACAAACGAGAACGGCGCUAGAAGUACCAUACCCAUACGCUGACUGAAGAAACUGGAAGCUGCUGUCGCUGGAGACGCAGUUUCAGGUGCGCGAAGCGAAGAACAGAGCGUCGUAUGGCGUCUCUAGGGUGAGGCGAACCAGUCCGAGAGCAAGCACGGGCUGACCCAGUGCUGGGGCAUCCAUUUCCGAAGGCAGCGGCACAAGGCAGCCUCGAGCUCGGGGCGGCGGCGGCGGCUCCAACGGCCGGCUCCAGACGGGGCUGUUCCUGCAGCUGCCGUUCAGAGAAACAGAAAAAAUGGCAGAGUGAGAGAGCCAGGAAGAGGGAAGCGGUAGGAGGGAGAGAGAAGAGCAGAGGGAUGAGGAAGGAGAAGGGGCUCGAGGCACGGUGACCUGGGCCGCUAUUUGCCGGCGACUCGCUGGCCAGCGGCACAUCAGAGAGGUGGGUGCGCAGGCGCCGGGUGCUUGGGGACGGGGCAGAUGGUGCAGCUCCGAUGCGGCGGCAGGGCCGAGCCGGCGCUGCUGCCCCACCUGCAGAAGACGACGGUGAAGGAACCCCAAGCCAAGCUCGAGCCAUGUCGUGGUGGUCCUGGAGAUAGAAAGAGAGACUUGAGAGAGAGAGGGGAAUCGAAUAAGGAAGGAGAGAAGGGAGAGGGAGCACGGCAAGGAGAAGGGCCCUGGGCGCAGGGGCUUCGUGCGGAGCUGCUGCUACUAAUGCUUGCCUGCGAGCGCGGCCAUGGGCGUCGGCUGGAGAUGCACGGCGAGGAGGUUCAACGGGAUUGGAGAGGAGGGGAAAUCGAUGAGGAGACAAGGGUGCGCUGACUGUGGGGAAUCCCGAGGAGAGGAGGGGUGCGGCGGCGGCGGAUGGAAUUAGGAUAGGAUGGGACAGAUCCUAGGGUUUGAUAUGAUUAAAUGGGUAGGUGGGUUUGGGUAGGCUGAUCUGGACCCUCUGGUUCGAUCUGACGGUCAAGAAAUAUAGGUUAGGGUAUCCAACGGACAAACCGAUGACGAUUUGCGGUAUAACGGGGUUGAUCCGGACCCAACGGUCACGUCCGCCCGGUUCGGGUCCCGGGAGGUUUUCGGACUAGGUUGUGUGUAGGGUCGGUGCACUGUGCAGAGGGGCUAGGAGGAGAUGAGAGGGAAAACGGGCAGCCCGGCAACGAGAUUUAAAAUACCGGAAAACGUCCGACGAUAGACCGAAUACGGUGCCGCUACGGUCGACCGUUCGGGUACCAAACGGACUCCGAUCGCGACGAAAUUCGACAGGCGGCCUAGCUAUAUUAAAACACCGCACCACAAAUCUCAACCCAAUCAGAGAAAGUUUUCAACACACUUUUAAAAACAGGGUUUCGACGGUGCCGCGGGCGCGUGCGAGUGCGGUCAGACUAAGAACGAACUACGACGAGAACCGACAACUACUAGCGGAUGCAAGCUUUAUAAACGGGCGGCAACGGGAUGCCGAUGCAAUGCUGAUGAUGCGCAUGAUGCGAUGAUGAUGCGACAAAAGAAAAAAAAUAGACACACGACGAAAACGGAAAGAGAGGGGAAUCUUCUGGAACGUCGGCAUCGGGCUGUCACAGUCAUUCCCUUUGUCCUUCGGUAUGUUACUUGCCCGAGAUUCGAUCGUCAGUAUCUGCAUACCUAUUUCAAUCUCGUUUACCGGCAAGUCUCUUUACUCGUUCUGUAAUACAAGAUCCCGCAACUUACACUAAGACACAUUGCUUGCAAGGCUUGUGUGUGAUGUUGUAUUACCGAGUGGGCCCCGAGAUACCUCUCCGUCACACGGAGUGACAAAUCCCAGUCUCGAUCCAUACUAACUCAACGAACACCUUCGGAGAUACCUGUAGAGCAUCUUUAUAGUCACCCAGUUAUGUUGCAACGUUUGAUACACACAAAGCAUUCCUCCGGUGUCAGUGAGUUAUAUGAUCUCAUGGUCAUAGGAACAAAUACUUGACACGNNNNNNNNNNNNNNNNNNNNNNNNNNNNNNNNNNNNNNNNNNNNNNNNNNNNNNNNNNNNNNNNNNNNNNNNNNNNNNNNNNNNNNNNNNNNNNNNNNNNUCACCGGCGCACCGUCACGCUGUCGGAGAAGUCAUCUACUUCCCCGUCUCUCUUGCUGGAUCAAGAAUACGGAGAUCGUCAUCGAGCUGUACGUGUGCUGAACGCGGAGGUGCCAUCCGUUCGGUGCUAGAUCGGGACGGAUCGUGGGACGACGGUGAUUUGAAUCAUGAAGCUGUUCCACUACAUCAACCGCGUUUCUUAACACUUCCCGCUUAGCGAUCUACAAGGGUACGUGGAUCUGAUCUCCCUCUUGUAGAUGAACAUCACCAUGAUAGGUCUUCCUGUGCGUAGGCAAUUUUUUGUUUCCCAUGCAGUGCUCCCCAACAAUUUUAAAAUCUCCAAUGAUAACCGUGGGCGUAGGCUCAAUGCAUUAAUAUUAUUAACCAUAGUUUUCUUAUUCAAAAAAUGCACGAUAUUUUGCUUGCCACUGACAUGAAAAGUAAGCUUGCUUUUGUUGCUAUCAAUAACAACCCCUGCAGUAUUUAGAAAGGGUCUACCAAGGAUGAUAGACAUAUUGUCGUACUCGGGCAUAUCAAGAAUAACAAAGUCUGUUAAGAAGUAACAUUUCCAACCACAACAGGAACAUCCUCGCAAAUUACAUAGUGGUAUUUCUCCAUAAUACAUAAUUACAUAGUGCAUUACAACAUGCAUGCAGAUCAAAGAUAUUCGAUCUCGGUCAUCGUUGGUUAUUGCACAUAACCAAUGCCUAGAAACCGGUUUGGACCCAUAGUUUAUAACCGUUUAUAACCAAACUGUUUAAGCCCAUAACCAACUAUAUCCAGACUGAUUUCUCCACAUACCCAAACCAAAACCAAACUAAAAAAAGUUCAACCCAAUAAAACCUAAACCAAUCAAAUCCAAAGUAAUAACCGAACCGUUACACCCGAUUUUCUAAUAACCAUUCCCAGGUUUACCUAGGGUCUAGGCGACGAUCCGGCGCAGGAGAGGAGGGAGGGCGACGAGUCGGAGCAGAGGAGCUUGCUGGAAGAAGAGGAAGAAGCCGUCAUUGUGGACGUCGUGGAAGGAGUCCUCGUCAUCCGGUUGAUGCGGGAACAGAGCUUCCACGGCCACCGCAUGCUCCUGGCGCUGACGAAGAGGAGGAGGAGGCCGAACUUCUGCUUGCUACCAGGCUCACCGGAGCCCAUCGAUCGCGUCGGCGUCGAAGGGUCUCCCCUGACGGCGCGAGGGAGAGAGGAGGGAGAGAAUGGAAUGGGCUAGGGCUCAAGAGGGCGUCGGACUGCUUAUAUGGCCUCGGGGGUCGAGCUCCAAGCCGCAAGAUCGAGGGAGGAGGAGACCGGCGGCUCUGCUUCGGUCAUACAGGGUGACAACAGAACAGGCUACGGGUCGCGCUUGCGACAGAACAGGCGAGGCCCGGGUAAGAAAGAGGGAGCCGGCCCACCUGGCGCCUGUUAAACCAGAGAAGAAAAACAAAAGGGUUUCCUAUUUUCCAAUAAACCAAACAAAAACAAAAAAUACCCAGAGCAUCGAAGUGUUUUAAAAAUAAAAAUAAGAACACCUCGGGCAUGAGGGAAUUAUGCCCUAUUCAACAAAAAUAUAACUCAGAUUUUUAGAGCAACUAAAAUAUACACCAAAAACAGGAAAUAGUUACUGUUUUAAUUAAAACCCACAUUUUCAUAAAGCCCAAAAAUAACAAGGAGAGAAACUUCUACACUCACAAUAAACCCUCUAAACCCACAACAUCUUUUUACAACAAAUUCAACACUGUUUGAAACACAAGUUUAAAAUAAAAGGAGGGAAAGAGGGUUUUAGCUAUGUUUUGAAAUCACCACACUUCCACUUCCCCCUAUGUGAGCACUAGCACAUCCAAGAAGGAUCACACAAUAGCAACACAAGAAAAGGUGCACAGGUAGCAAAAGUAUGCCAUGAUGCAAAAUGAUGACAUGCAAUGAUGGCCACAUGAAAUGAUAACCUUAUAACAAUCACAACAUGGUUUCCAAAAUAGGAAAGGUUCCCAAAAUGGCAAGGGUUACAUCUGGGGCAUUACACUCCUUUUACCUUGUCCCGCGGGGUUGUUGUUGCCUCGCCCUUAGAACUGAGAGUGGCCCUUUGACAACUCGCCUCUCCUGGCGGUGCUAAUUUUGUCGUCAUCCUCCCCGGGAUCUUUAGUGUCGUCCGAUUCGGCAUACCUGGUCAGGGUGUCCAUCAAUUAUCCCAUGUCCUACACCUUAUGUUUGAGUCUCCCAAGCUUCAGCACCAAAGGCUCGUAGUGACAAUUUUUCUCCAGGAUCAGCACGGCCUGAGCCAUCGAGAUGCUAUCCGACAAAUGGAUUACUUCUGCAACUCGCUGCAUCCAAUGAUGGACCGACUCAUCUGGACGCUGGACACAGUGAUGUAGGUCGACAAUGGUCAUCGGGCACUUGCAAGUUCCUCUGAAAUUUUUGACGAAGAGUUCCUUCAAUUCGGCCCAGGUGUUGAUGGAGUUGGGCAGCAGGUUCUUCAACCAUGUGGGCGUUGUUCCUUCGAGCAUCAUGGUGAAAUACUUAGCGCAAAUCGCCUCACUCACAUCGAGAUAUCCAUCGCAAGCUCGUAACUCUCGAUCCAUGCACCUGGCUCGAGGUCUGGCGUGUAAUUGGGUACCUUCCGUGGUCCUUUGAAAUCUUUCGGCAUACGCUCGGUGCGAAGGGCGGGUGCUAGAUAGGGCACCCCCAACGUGCCUGCCACCUGUUUCUGUCAAUGUGGGAGAAGGCAAGGUGUAAGCCGGAUAACCAUGACCCGUGGCGGCCGAUGUUUCCAUCAAGCGAGCGGCUCACGCCACGUCCACAAGAUCCUGAGCCCGUGUGUCGGGCAUCCCGAGCGGAUUGAUCUACGGCAAACGUCGUUGCUCGCUGGUCACCGUGGGCGGGUCAUCAUGGCGGCUCCUGGUGUGACUCGCCUGGGGCGUGGAGUGUAGCCGCUCGCGGCUAUAGGAAUAUUGCGCCUGCUGCACUACCGUUGUUUUCAGCAUCUCGAUGGCGUUUCUCGCCUCCACUUCGGCCGGAGAGUUUCCGUGAAUGGGGAGAGAUUCGAGGUGGCGGCUUGCUGCUAGCAUGUUGUCAACGGGGUUCAAGAAGUGACCCCGCGGUGUCUAGAAACAAGGUGCAUGAGCCUCCAUCUACUGUGGCAGUUGUGGAUUAAGCGGUGGCCGAGCCGGAUCGCCUCCUGGGGCGGCCUGCUACGGCCGACUGGGCUCCAUCCCAGGGGUAUGUGGGUUGUCGAAGAGCCGAGUUGGGUUUAAAUCAGCCGGCAGGUGGCCGUGAUGGCUCCUCUGGUGGAUUGCAUAAGAGGCACGCUGCUGUCGCUCAAGCCGCCAUCCCUCCGUGGUUAGUCACUCUGUCUCCGCGGUGAUCUGGGGCCCCUGUAUUGCCAUACUGGCGGCUUCUUCUUCUAUGUCGCUCUAGAUCUUGGCCAUCUCCUCCCUCAGUUUCGUUAGUUUGGCGUUGACCGUCUCCUGGGUCUCUGCCAUCACAGUGAUCGCCAUGAGUUUGGUUGUCUCUGCUACCAGGCCUGCCAUGGCUUGAGCCAGAGCCUUCCCCGAUCCGUUGGCUUCAUUGUUACCCGCCACGUUUAGCUGAGGUGGCGCUGCCCCCGCCAUGUAGAUGUCGACUUGAUGGUGUGGACCCACAAAGUCGUCAAGGAUUACUGCCUCCGGCAACCCCCCGAGCUGUCCUUCGUGGAGAGGGUAGAUUGAAUCUGUAUAUCACCCAUGGAUGACUCGUCGUCCAAGUUGACGGGGUGACCUCCUAGAUUACCGGUCUGUCCGGUAAAUCGGUUCCUUGCGUGAAACUAAUGAAACCGUGGUGUUUCCUGACCUGAUGUUUGGCGGGAUGGGCGUACCGGGCCGGCUCGAUGAUGUCGGUGGAGGUGUCCGGCUCAGGUACGGGCGCCCCAAUCUUGUCGAUGAAAACGUGGAUCUUGCCGAAGGGGACCUGCUACUGCAACAAAAGACCUUCCAACGGCGCGAGAAAUAGGUGUGUCGACGGCACCAGGAAUACUUCUGCUACGGCUACGCCUUAAGGGACUUCCUAGGAAAAUAUGCAAAGGAUUUCCCCCAUGGCCUUGGAGCCUUGCGUUGGUGUUCCCUCGAAGCGGCAAGGGUGAUGUAGCGUAGCGGUGGUAAGUAUUUCCCUCAGUUUGAGAACCAAGGUAUCGAUCCAGUGAAGGAGUAUCACAAGAACCUGCACAAACACAAAAAAGCUUGCUCCCAACGCUAUGAAGGGGUUGUCAAUCCCUUAUAGAUUGUUCGCCAAGUGAGAACUGAAAGCAACAAAGUAACAAAGCAAAGUAAAAGCAAAAGUGAAACGAUAGGUGUGAAUAGACCCGGGGGCCAUAGUGGUUACUAGUGGCUUCUCUCAUGAAAGCAAGUAGACGGUGGGUGAACAAAUUACUGUCGAGCAAUUGAUAGAACCGCGCAAAGUCGUAACGUCAUCUAUGGCAAUGAUUAUAUCUAUAGGCAUCACGUACAAAACAAGUAGACCGAUACUUUCUGCAUCUACUACAAUUACUCCACACGUCGACCGCUAUCGAGCAUGCAUCUAGUGUAUUAAGUCCAAAAGAAUAGAGUAACGCCUUAAGCAAGGUGACAUGAUGUAGAUGGACAAUCUCAUAUCAACGACAGAGCCCACCUUGUUACCCUUGAUGGCAACUACUCAACUGUGUGCCUUGCUGCCCCUACUGUCACUGGGAAAGGUCACCACAUGGUAAGAACCCAAAACCAAGCACUUCUCCCAUUGCAAAAAUCAUAGAUCUAGUUGGCCAAACAAAACCCAAGACUCAGAGAGACUUACAAGGAUAUCAAAUCAUGCAUAUAAGAAAUCAGCAAAGACUCAAAUAUAUAUCAUAGAUAAUCUGAUCACAAAUCGACAAUUCAUCGGAUCUCGACAAACACACCACCAAAUAAGAUUACAUCGGAUAGAUCUCCAUGAAGAUCAUGGAGAUCUUUGUAUUGAAGAUCCAAGAGAGAAAAGAAGCCAUCUAGCUACUAACUACGGACCCAUAGGUGUGAAGUGAACUACUCACGAGUCAUUGGAGGGGCGAUGAUGAUGAUGAAGAAGCCCUCCAACUCCAAAGUCCACUCCGGUAGGGCGCCGGGAAGGGUCUCGAGAUGAGAUCUCGCGGAAACGGAAGCUUGCGGCGGCGGAAAAUUAUUUUCGAGGCUCCCUUGAUUUAUUUCUGAUUUUUUGGGAAUAUAUAGGCGUAAGAUCUAGGUCAGGGGGCGCCAGGGAGGCCACAAGCCUGCCCACCGCCGCCUCCCCCCUGGUGACGGAGUGGGGGCUUGUGGGCUCCCUGCAGCCCUCCUGGCUUGGCCCACAGGCCCCCUGACCUUCUUUCGUUCGGGAAAAAAUCAUUUUGGGGAUUUUAUUCCGUUUGGACUCCGUUCCAAAAUCAGAUCUGAAAAGAGCCAAACACACAGAAAUAACAGGAACUGGCACUUGGCACUGAAUUAAUAAUUUAGUCCCAAAAAAGAUAUAAAAGGUACAUAAAACAUCCAAAGUUGACACAAUAACAACGUGAAAUCAUCAAAAAUUAUAGAUACGUUUGAGACAUAUCAAGCAUCCCCAAGCUUAACUCCUGCUCGUCCUCGAGUAGGGAAGUGAUAAAGAAUGAAUUUUUGAUGCUUUCAUGCUACCUAGCAUAGAAGUCCUUUGUAACUCCUCUUAUGUGACGUGAAUGUUCAGAUCCAUUAGAUUCAAAAAAAUAGUUUGCUAUUGACGUGCAAACAAUAAUAAUUCAAGCAAACUAGCAAGGUAAUCAUGAACUUUCAAAAUAACAAGGCCAAAAGAAAGUUAUCCCUACAAAAGCAUAUAGUCUCGCUAUGCUCUAUCAUCAUUGCACAACGAAUUUAAAUCAUGCACAACCUCGGUAUUGGCAAAGUAAUUGUUUCACACCUUUACUUUCACAAACCUUUUCAACUCUCACGCAAUACAUGAGCGUGAGCCAUGGUUAUAGCACUAUAGAUGGUGUGGAGUGUGGUGGAGGUUGCAAGACAAAAAAUGAGAAGAUAGUCACAUUAACUAGGCAUAUCAAUGAGCUGUGGAGAUGCUCAUCAAUAGAUAUCAAUGUGAAUGAGUAGGGAUUGUCAUACAAAUGAUGCACUAGAGCUAAAAGUAUGUGAAAACUCUUAAAGAAAACUAGUGGGUGUGCAUCCAACUUGCUUGCUCACGAAGACCUAAGGCAAUUUUGAGGAAGCCGAUCAUUGGAAUAUACAAGCCAAGUUAUAUAAUAAAAUUUUCCCACUAGCUAUAUGGUGGUGACAAAACGAGAGACUCUCAAUCAUGAAGAUCAUGGUGCUUAAUAUGCACAAGUGUGGAAAAAGUGGUAGCAUUGUCCCUUCUCUCUUUUUCUCUCAUUUUUUUGGUGGGCUCUUUGGCCUAUUUUUUUUUAUUUUGGUGGGCUUCUUUGGCCUCUUUUAUUUCCUCACAUGGGACAAUGCUCCAUUAAUGAUGAUCAUCACACUUUCAACUCAAACCUUAGAGCAACUAUGACUCUAUAUGGAAUGCCUUCGGUAGUGUACCAUGACAAUGAUCUAGCAUGGCAUAGGCAUUAAUGGAAACAUCAUGCUAGCUAUCUUACGAUCAUGCAAUGGCAAUGUAGAUGUGGUGGCACAUGUCAUGGUGGUAGUUGCAUGGCAAUAUAUCUCAGAAUGACUUUGAAAAAGCCAUAGUAGGUAGGUAUGGUGGCUGUUUUGUGGGAGGCUAAUGGUGGGUUUUGUGCACCGGCGAAAAUUGCACGGCACUAAGAAGAUAGUGAUGGUGGAAGGUGAAAGUGCAUCUAAACCAUGGACUCAACAUUAGUCAUGAAGAACUAAUAUACUUGUUGCAAAAGUUUUAUUAGUAAUCGAAACAAAGCAUUCAACGCAUACUCCUAGGGGAAGGGUUGGUAGGUAUAAACCAUCGCGUGAUCCCGACCGCCACGCAAAGGAUGACAAUCAAUAGACUAAUCGUGCUCAGAUUUCAUCACAUAGCGGUUCACCAUACGUGCAUGCUACGGGAAUCACUAACUUCAACACAAGUAUUUCUAGAUCCACAACACCUUACUAGCAUAACUUCAACAUUACCACAACCACAACUGAAAACUAAUUGAGAUGAAUCAAACUUCUCUAACUAUUCAAUGAACAUGAAGGUGGAAGUUUCCGUAUCCCUUUGGAUAACUACCCCUUUUGAGACUACUUUCAAAGCAUAGAUCAACUACCAAGACACGCACCGUUGUGCUCUAAAAGAUAUAAGUGAAGCACAUAGAGCAAAAGUAUCUAGCUCAAAGGAUAUAAGUGAAGCACAUGUGAGCUGAAUUGUCUACCAAAAAUUAUAAGUGAAGCUCGACAAAAUCAUGGUGAGUGCAUGUCUCUCUCUCUAGGUGUGCAGCAAGGAUGAUUGUGACACAACAAAAAUAAAAUACUCCUACGAUACAAGACACUCCAAGCAAAAAACACAUAACAUGUGGUGAAUAAAAAUAUAGCCCCAAGUAAUGUUACCGAUGGAUUGAAGACGAGAGAAGGGAUGCCUUCCCGGGGCAUCCCCAAGCUUAGGCUUUUACGGCAUCCUUGAAUCUCUUGGGGUGCCUUGGGCAUCCCCAAGCAUGAGCUCUUGCCACUCUUUAUCUCUUUGUCCAUAAGAACUUCACCCAAAACUUGAAAACUUCACAACACGAAACUUAAACAGAAACUCGUGAUAACAUUAGUAUGAGAAAGCAAACCACCACUUCCUUAGGUACUGUAGCAAACUUAAAUUAUACUUAUGUUGAUGUUGGGUUACUGUAUUUUCAAUCUUCCAUGGCUAAUACCCCCUGAUACUAUCCAUAGUUUCAUCAAAAUAAGCAACCAACACAACAAAAACAGAAUCUGUUAACAGCAGACCAGUCUGUAGCAAUCUGUAUAUUUCGUAUACUUCUGGUGCUUCAAAAAUUCUGAACAAUUACGACAGUCUGAAGAAUUUGCGUAGUAAUCAGCAGCAAAAAGAAUCAACUCAAAAGCUCUUACAGAAAAGAAAAAAAUUCUUUUCGUGAGCAGAAAGUUUCUAUCUUUUCCAGCAUGACCAAACGAUCAUCCCCAAGACUAAUCAUAACGGUUUUGCUUGGCACAAACGCAAAAAGAAACACAAAAAACACAAUAAUAACAGAAUUAUGAAAGUGUGGAAAACGCAAAAUAUAAAGAAAAAGGAUAGAUUCGUUGGGUUGCCUCCCAACAAGCGCUUUUGUUUAACGCCCUUAGCUAGGCAAAAGGUGAUGGAAUCACGUAUAGUCAUCUUUGGUGCUCAAACCAUAAGUAGCCCUCAUCAUAGAUUCAUAAGCCAAUCUUAUUUUCUUUCUAGGAAAGUGCACAUGCCCUUCUUUAAAGAAAAUUUAAAUCUAAUAUCCCCUUCCUUCAUAUCGAUGAUAGCACCAAUAGUCCUUAGGAAAUGUCUACCAAGAAUAAUCGGACAUGAAGGAUUGCAAUCUAUGUCAAGUACAAUGAAAUCCACGGGUACAUAGUUCUUAUUUGCAAUAAUAAGAACAUCAUCGAUCCUCCCCAUGGGUUUCUUGAUAGUAGAAUACGCAAGAUGCAAAUUAAGAGAACACUCUUCAAUCUCAUGAAAACCAAGAAUAUCACAUAAAGACUUUGGAACCGCGGAAACACUAGCACCCAAAUCACACAAAGCAUUGCACUCAUAGUUUUUUAUCUUGAUUUUGAUAGUAGGUUCCCACUCAUCAUGAAGAUUUCUAGGUAUAGAGACUUCUAGUUUGAGCUUCUCUUCAAGAGAUUUCAUCAUAGCAUCUAUGAUAUGCGCGGUAAAGGAUUUUCUUUGGCUAUAAGCGUGUGGAGAGUUUGCAAUGGAUUGCAUCAAAGAAAUGCAUUCAAACAAGGAGCAAUUAUCAUAAUUGAAUUCCUUGAAAUCCAAAGUGGGAGUUUCAUUACUACCCAUAAUUUUGAUUUCUUCUACUCCACUCUCCACACCUUUAUCAUCAAGAUAGGUGGACUCUGAAUCAUUGGGGCGUUUUUCAACCAAAGUGGAUUCAUAUCCAGCCCCUCCAUAAACAGGUUUGACACGCGAAAACAAAGAUUCAAGAGGAGACACACCAAGCACUUUAAGACCUUCGUGAUUUGCAUCACUAGAACGCACCCUUUUAAACCAUUCAUGCUAGCCCGAAUUUGGGCGGUUCUUUCUUUGCUCUCAUUCAUGGAGACACGCAUAGCUUUUCAAAGUUUCAUCCAAGUUUACCUUGGGAGGAGCGCGUCUAACUUUCAAAGCAUCAAUAUCACAAGACAUCCUAUCAACGCUCUUAGCCAAAUCGUCAAUUUGAGUAGUUUUUCCUCUAUGGACGCAUUGAAAAUCUUUUGAGAGUUGAUGAACUCUUUGAUAUUACUCGCUAAAUCAGAGGGUAAUUUGUUGUGAUUUCCAUAAGUGUUGUUGUAGGAAUUGCCAUAAUUGUUAGAGGAGUUACUAGGAAAAGGCCUAGGAACAUAGUUUCCUCUAAAAGCAUUGUUGUUGCCAAAAUUGUUCCUACCAACAAAAUUCACGUCCAAACUAGCGUUGCUACUCUCAAUCAAAGAAGAUAGUGGCAUGUCAUUAGGAUCUACAGUAGCGUCUCUACUAGCAACCAAAUUCAUCAACUUGUCCAUCUUAGCACUAAGCGAGUUAAUCUCUUCUAUAGCGUGUACCUUUUUGCUAGCAGGCGACCUUUCAGUGUGCCACUGAGAGUAGUUGGUCAUGAAAUUGUCUAGGAGUUUUGUAGCGUCUCCUAACGUCAUUUCCAUGAACGUUCCACCUGAGGCGGAGUCCAAGAUAUUGCGAGAAGCAAAAUUCAAGCCAGCGUAAAAUAUUUGUAUAAUCAUCCACAAACUCAAGCCAUGAGCGGGACAAUUUCUAAUCAUAAGCUUCAUCCUCUCCCAAGAUUGUGCAAUGUGUUCAUGAUCAAGUUGCUUCAAAUUCAUGAUAUCGUUACGUAAGGAGAUGAUCUUAGCCGGCGGAAAAUACUUGGAUAUGUAAGCAUCUUUGCACUUAUCCCAAGAAUCGAUACUAUUUUUAGGCAAAGAAGAAAACCAAGUUUUUGCGCGAUCUCGCAACGAGAAAGGAAAAAGUUUCAACUUAAUCACGUCAUUAUCCACAUCUCUUUUCUUUUGCAUAUCACAAAGCUCAAUGAAGGUAUUGAGAUGGGAUGUGGCAUCUUCACCAGGAAGGCCAGAGAAUUCUCUUUCAUAACAAGAUUCAGCAAAGCGGCGUUGAUUUCAUACGAUUCUGCACUAGUGGCGGGAGCAAUCGGAGUACUAAUAAAAUCAUUAUUAUGAGUGCUCGAGAAGUCGCAAAGUUUGGUGUUUUCAGCCAUGAUGACUUCAACAAACAAACAAGCACACAAGCAAGUAAGAAAGCCGGCAAAGGAAAACGACAAAGGCAAAAGAAAACGGCAAAGGAGAAAGGCAAAUGAAAACGGAAAAUGUGAAGUGGGGGAGAGGAAAACGAGAGACAACUGGCAACAAAAGUAAAUGCAGGAGAUGAGUUUGGGAGACCUACUUGGAUAGAUCUCUCCUUCCCCGACAACGGCGCCAGAAAUACUUCUGCUAGUGCAACAAAAGACCUUCCAAUGGCGCCAGAAAUAGGUGUGUCGACGGCACCAGGAAUCCUUCUGCUAUGGCUACGCCUUAAGGGACUUCCUAGGCAAAUAUGCAAAGGAUUUCCCCUGUGUCCUUGGAGCCUUGCGUUGGUGUUCCCUCAAAGCGGAAAGGGUGAUGUAGCUUAGCCGUGGUAAGUAUUUCCCUCAGUUUGAGAACCAAGGUAUCGAUCCAGUGAAGGAGUAUCACAAGACCCUACACAAACACAAAAAGCUUGCUCCCAAUGCUAUGAAGGGGUUGUCAAUCCCUUAUAGAUUGUUCGCCAAGUGAGAACUGAAAGCAACAAAGUAACAAAGCAAAGUAAAAGAGAAAGUGAAACGAUAGGUGUGAAUAGACCCGGGGGGCCGUAGUGUUUACUAGUGGCUUCUCUCAUGAAAGCAAGUAGACGGUGGGUGAACAAAUUACUGUCGAGCAAUUGAUAGAACCGCGCAAAGUCGUAACGUCAUCUAUGGCAAUGAUUAUAUCUAUAGGCAUCACGUACAAAACAAGUAGACCGAUACUUUCUACUGCAUUAAUGAUUAUAUCUAUGGUUAAUGAUUAUAUCUAUGGUUAAUGAUUAUGCCUUCAUUAACCAUAAAGUGGCACUUCUCCCAAUUCAAGACAAGGUUAGUAUCUUUACAUCUCUGCAAAACUCGAUCAAGGUUGCUCAAGCAAUCAUCAAAGGAAGAUCCGUAAACGGAGAAAUCAUCCAUGAAAACCUCAACAAUCUUUUCACAAAAGUCAGAGAAUAUUGCCAUCAUACAUCUUUGAAAGGUAGUAGGUGCAUUACAUAAACCAAAAGGCAUAUGGCUAUAAGCAAAGGUACCGAAAGGGCAAGUAAAAGUGGUUUUCUCCUGAUCAGAUUGUGCAACAGGUAUUUGGGAGAAACUAGAAUAACCAUCUAGAAAGCAAAAGUGUGUAUGUUUAGACAAUCUUUCUAGCAUUUGAUCAAUAAAAGGUAAAGGUUAAUGAUCUUUCUUAGUAGCUUUAUUUAAUUUCCUAAAAUCAGUUACCAUCCUAUAGCUAGUAACAAUUCUUUGUGGGAUCAAUUCAUCUUUAUCAUUAGGGACAACGGUAAUACCUCCCUUCUUAGGGACACAAUGAACCGGACUUACCCAAUCACUAUGAGCAACAGGAUAAAUAAUACCUGCUUCCAGGAGCUUUAGUAUUUCUUUUCUUACUACCUCUUUCAUCUUAGGAUUUAAUCUUCGUUGGUGAUCGGCAACUGGUUUGGAAUCAGGAUCAGUUUUAAUUUUAUGCUGGCAUAGAGUAGGACUAAUGCCCUUAAGAUCAUCAAGAGUAUAUCCAAUAGCAGCAUGGUGCUUCCUCAGGGUUUUCAAUAAUUUCUUUUCUUCAUGCUCUGAAAGGUUAGCACUAAUAAUAACCGGAUAUAUCUCUUUUUCAUCAAGAUAAGCAUACUUAAGAGUAUCAGGUAAUUGUUUAAGCUCAAACACAGGAUCACCCUUUUGUGGAGGUGGAUCUCCAAGUAAUUCAACAGGCAAAUUAUUCUUAAGGAUAGGACAUUGUUCAAAGAUAACUCUAUCUGUCUCAUCCCUUUCAUCCAUAUGCAUAUCAUUUUCAUGUUCAAGAAAGUAUUGCUCUAAAGGAUCAGUAGGAGGCACAACAAUAGAAGCAAGAGCAAUAAUUUCAUCCUUACUAGACAAUUCUUUUUCAUGAGGUUGUUUACCAAACUUAGAAAACUUAAAUUCAUGUGACACACCUCCAAAGCCAAUAGUAACAGUUUCUUUCUCACAAUCAAUUUGAGCAUUAACAGUAUUGAGGAAAGGUCUACCAAAUAUGAUGGAACAAAAGCUAUCUUGUGUGGUAGCAAGAAUGAGAAAAUCAGUAGGAUACUUAGUUUUACCACACAAGACUUCAACAUCUCUAACAAUUCCCACAGGGUAGAUAGUAUCUUUAUUAGCAAGUUUAAUAGUAACAUCAAUAAAUUCCAUCUCGACAGGUGCAAUGUCAUCUUUAAUUUCAUUAUAUACAGAUUGAGGUAUUGCACUAACACUAGCACCCAUGUCACAUAAACCAUGAUAACAAUGAUAUCCUAUCUUAACAGAAACAACAGGCAUGCCAACAACAGGUUUAUGUUUGUCUCUAGCCCGAGGUUUAGCAAUUCUAGCAGCAGCUUCACAGAAUUGAAUAACAUGCCCAUCAACAUUAUCGGCCAAGAGAUCUUUAAUAAUAGCAAUACUAGGUUCAACUUUAAUUUGUUGAGGGGUGUGGGUGUUCUAAUGUAGCUCUUACGUAUCACAGUGAAAGCUUUAACAUGAUCCUUUAUUCUAACAGGGAAAGGUGGUUUCUCAAUGUAAGCACUAGGAACAAUAGAAUCAUUAUAAGCAAUAACUUUCUCUUCAACUGGAUUGGAUUUUACUACAUUAACUUCUAUGGGAGGAUGAUAUUUAAACCACUUCUCCUUAGGGAGAUUAAUAUGUGCAGCAAAUGAUUCACAUAAAGAAGCUACUAUCUCAGAGUCAAGUCCAUGUUUAGCGCUAAAAUCACGAAAAGUAUUUGUUUCAACGAAGGAUUUAACGUGAUCGAACUUAAGAAUCAUACAUGACUCCUUACCUUCAUCAAAAUCCCAAUAUUCAGAGUUGCAUUUAAUUCUUUCCAAUAAAUCCCAUUUGAAAUCAAUAUCUCUCUUCAUAAAAGAACCGGUACAAGAAGUGUCAAGCAUGGUGCGAUUGUCAUGAGAAAGCCGAGCAUAAAAGUUCAUAAUAAUAAGUUCUCUAGGUAGAUCAUGGUUGGGGCAUGAAUAUAACAUUGACUUAAGCUUCCCCCAAGCUUGAGCGAUACUUCCUCUAUCAUGAGGCCAAAGUUUAUAGAUAUAAUUCCAAUCACGAUGUACCAAAUGCAUAGGAUAAAACUUUUGAUGAAAUUCCAAUUUCAAUCGGUUGUAGUUCCAUGAUCCAGUAUUAUCACAUAGCCUAUACCAUGUCAAUGCUUUAUCCCUCAAAGAUAAGGGAAAGACCUUCUUCUUGACCUCAUCCUCGGGCAAACCUGCAAUCUUAAAUAAACCACAAACUUCAUCUACAUAGAUUAGAUGCAUGUCGAGAUGUGAUGUUCCAUCUCGUGUAAAAGGAUUAGCCAACAGUUUCUCUAGCAUACCCGAAGGGAUUUCAUAAUAAAUAUUUUCAGUAGGUGAAGUAGGUUGAGGAGCAACUCUUUGUGCUUCGGAUCGAGGUGAAUAUACCCCGAACAAGCCCCUCAAAGGAUUAGAUUCCAUAGUGACAAGUGACAAUAAAUUUCAGCACACUAUAUAAAUGUUUCCUUACCAAAUUCCACUAACCAAAGGCACUUCACUCCCCGAAAACGGCGCCAGAAAAGAGUCUUGAUGACCCACAAGUAUAGGGGAUCUAUAGUAGUUUUUUCGAUAAGUAAGAGUGUCGAACCCAAUGAGGAGCGGAAGGAAAUGACAAGUGAUUUUUAGCAAGGUAUUCUCUGCAAGCGAUGAAAUUAUCGGUAACAGAUAGUUGCGGGAUAAGAUAAUUCGUAACGGAUAACAAGUAACAAUAGUAACAAAGGUGCAGAAAGAUGGCCAAAUCUCUUUUGUAGCAAGGAAAAAGCCUUAACGAACUCUUAUAUAAGGUAAAGCGCUUCCGAGGACACAUGGGAAUUUCUGUCAAGCUAGUUUUCAUCAUGUCCAUAUGAUUCGCGUUCGCUACUUUGUUAGUCUGAUAUGUGGGUGGACCGGUGCUUGGGUGCUGUCCUUACUUGUACAAACAUCCCACUUAUUAUUAACCCCUCUCGCAAGCAUCCGCAACUAUGAAAGAAGAAUUAAGAUAAAGUCUAACCAUAGCAUUAAACUGGUGGACCCAAAUCAGCCCCUUGCGAAGCAACGCAUAAACUAGGGUUUAAGCUUCUGUCACUCUAGCAACCCAUCAUCUACUUAUUACUUUCCAAUGCCUUCCUCUAGGUCCAAAUAAUGGUGAAGUUUCAUGUAGUUGACGUCACAUAAUACCACUAGAGGAAAGACAACAUACAACGCAUCAAAAUAUCGAACGACUACCAAAUUCACAUGACUACUUAUAACAAGACUUAUCCCAUGUCCUUAGGAACAAACGUAACUACUCACAAAGCAUAAUUAUGUUCAUGAUUAGAGAGGUAUUGAAUAGCAUUAAGGAUCUGAACAUAUGAUCCUCCACAAAGUAAUCCAACUAGCAUCAACUACAAGGAGUAAUUAACACUACUAGCAACCUUACAAGUACCAACCGGAGUCGCGAGAUGGAGAUUGGGUACAAGAGAUGAACUAGGGUUUGGAGAUGAGAUGGUUUUGAUGAAUAUGAUGAUGGAGAUGAGUCCCCUCCGAUGAGAGGAGUGUUGGUGAUGACGAUGGCGAUGAUUUCCCCCUCCGGGAGGGAAGUUUCCCCGGCAGGACGGCCCUGCCGGAGCUCUAGAUUGGUUCUGCUCAAGUUCCGCCUCGUGGCGGCGGCGUUUCUUCUCGAAAGCUCUCUCUUGAUUUUUUUUGUGGGACAAAACCCUCCUUAUAGCAGAAGAUGGGAGCCGAAGGGGUAACAGGGGGCCCGUGAGCCCCCCAGGCGCGCUGAGGGGGUGGGGCGCGCCUAGCAGGCUCGUGACCUCGUUGUGGCUCCCCUCCAGUAUUUCUUCCACCCAGUAUUUUUUAUAUAUUCCAAAAUAAUUCCUAGCUGAUUUUCACGGCUUUUGGAGUUGUGCAGAAUAGGUAUCUCAAACUUGCUCCUUUUCCAGCCCGGAAUUCCAGCUGUUGGCAUUCUCCCUCCUCAUGUAAACCUUAUAAAAUAAGAGAGAAAAGGCAUAAGUAUUGUACCAUAAUGUGUAAUAACAGCCCAUAAUGUGAUAAAUGUCAAUAUAAAAGCAUGAUGCAAAAUGGACUUAUCAAUGACACUAUAUGAACUAUGGUUUGGAGAAACCUAAGUUGUCGUUUCUUAAAAGAUUGGGGCUGCGAUGCUUAUGUGGAAAAGUUUCAGCAUGAUAAGUUCGAACCCAAAGCGGAUAAAUGCAUCUUCAUAGGACGCCCAAAACAUUUGGGUAUACCUCCUAUCUCAGAUCCGGAAGCAAAGAGUUUGUUUCUAGAAACGGGUCCUUUCUCGAGGAAAAGUUUCUCUCGAAAGAAUUGAGUGGGAGGGUGGUGGAACUUGAUGAGGUUAUUGAACCGUCACUUUAACCAAGGUGUAGCACGGCGGAGGAAGUUGUUCAUGUGGCUCCUACACCAAUUGAAGUGGAAACUGAUGAUGGUGACCAUUAAGCUUCGGAUCAAGUUACUACAAACCUCAUAGGUCGAUAAGGUCACGUACUAAUACAGAGUGGUACGGUAACCCUGUCUUGGAGGUCAUGUUGUUGAACAACAAUGAACCUACGAGCUAUGGAGUAGCGAUGGUGGGCCCGGAUUCCGGCAAAUGGAUGGAGGCCAUGAAAUCUAAGAGAGGAUCCAUGUAUGAAAACAAAGUGUAGACUUUGGAAGAACAACUUGAUGGUCGUAAGACUAUUAAGUAAAGAUGGAUCUUUUAAAGGAAGACAGGCGAUGAUGGUGAGAGUCACCAUUAAGAAAAGCUCGACUUGUCGCAAAGAUGUUUCCGACAAGUUCAAAGAGUUGACUAUGAUGAGACUUUCUCACUCAUAGCGAAACUAAAAGUCUGUUGGAAUUAUGUUAGCAGAUGCUCCAUUAUUUAUGAAAUAUUGCACAUAGGAUUUCAAAACAUUGUUUCCUCAACGGUUUCCUUGACGAAAGGUUGUAUGUGAUACAACCAGAAGGUUUUGUCGAUCCUAAGGAUGCUAACAAGUAUGCAAGCUCCAGCGAUCCUUCUAUGGACUGGUACAAGCAUCUCGGAAUUGGAAUGUACGCUUGGUGAGAUGAUCAAAGCUUUUGGGUUUAUACAAGGUUUGUGAGAAACUUGUAUUUACAAAGAAGUGAGUGGGAGCACUAUAGAAUUUCUCAUAAGUAUAUGUGGUUGACAUAUUGUUGAUCGGAAGUAAUGUAGAAUUUCUGUAAAGCAUAAAGGGUCGUUUGAAAGGAGUUUUUCAAAGGAAAACUUGAAUAGAGCUACUCGAACAUUGAGCAUCAAGAUCUAUAGAGAUAGAUCAAAACGCUUAAUAGAACUUUCAAUAAAAUGCAUGCCUUGACAAGUUUUUGAAGGAGUUCAAAAUAGAUCAGCAAAGAAGGAGUUCUUGGUUUUGUUGUAAGCUCUGAAUUUGAGUAAGACUCAAAGCCCGGCCACGAUAGAAGAAAGAGAAAGUAUGAAGGUCGUCCCAUGUGCCUUAGGCGUAGGCUCUAUAGUAUGCCAAGCUGUGUACCGCACCUGAUGUGUGCCUUGCCAUGAGUCUGUCAAGGGGUACAAAAAGUGAUCCAGGACUGAAUUGCUAAACAUCGGUCAAAGUUAUCCUUAGUAACUAGUGGACUAAGGAAUUUUUCUUAAUUAUGGAGGUGAUUAAAGAGUUCGUCAUAAAGGGUUAAAUUGAUGUAAGCUUUGACACUAAUCCGAAUAACUCUGAGUAGUAAAUCGGAUUCGUAUAGUGGAGCAGUCAUUUGGAAUAUUUCUAAAUAGCACGUAGUAGCAACAUCUAUAUGAUGACUUAAAGAUUUGUAAAGCAUAGACGGAUCUGAAAGGUUCAGACCCGUUUACUAAAAACCUCUCACACAAGCAAGACAUGAUCGAACCCCAGAACUGUAUGGGUAUUAGAUUCAUUACAAUCACAUAGUUAUGUGAACUAGAUCAUUGACUCUCGUGCAAGUGGGAGACUGUUGGAAAUAUGCCCUAGAGGCAAUAAUAAAUUGUUUAUUAUUAUAUUUCCUUGUUCAUCAUAAUCGUUUAUUAUCCAUGCUAGAAUUGUAUUCAUUGGAAACUCAAAUACAUGUGUGGAUACAUAGGCAACACACUGUCCCUAGUGAGCCUCUAGUUGACUAGCUCGUUGACCAAAUAUGGUCAAGGUUUCCUGGCCAUAGGCUAGUGUUGUCACUUCAUAAUGAUAUCACAUCAUUGGGAGAAUGAUGUGAUGGACAAGACCCAAACUAUAAACGUAGCAUAUGACCGUGUCAGUUUAUUGUUACUGUUUUCUGCAUGUCAAUGUAUCUGUUCCUAUGACCAUGAGAUCAUGCAACUCUCGAACACCGGAGGAAUACCUUGUGGGUUAUCAAACAUCGCAACAUAACUGGGUGACUAUAAAGGUGCUCUACAGGUAUCUCCAAAGGUGUCUGUUGGGUUGGCAUGGAUCAAGACUGGGAUUUGUCACUCCGUGUGAUGGAGAGGUAUCUCGGGGCCCACUCAGUAAUACAACAUCACAACAAGCCCUGCAAGCAAUGUGACUAAGGAGUUAGUUACGGGAUCUUGUAUUACGGACCGAGUAAAGAGACUUGUCGGUAACGAGAAUGAACUAGGUAUGGAGAUAACGACGAUCGAAUCUCGGGCAAGUAACAUACCGAAGGACAAAGGGAAUAGUAUACGGGAUUAUAUGAAUCCUUGACAUAGAGAUUCGACCGAUAGAGAUCUUCGUAGAAUAUAUAGGAACCAAUAUGUACAUCUAGGUAUCACUGUUGGUUAUUGACCGGAGAGUGUUUUAGGUGAUGUUUGCAUAGUUCUCGAACCCGCGGGGUCUACACACUUAAGGUUCAGUAACAUUUCGGUAUAGUUGAGUUAUAUGUGUUGGUGACCGAAGUUUUGUUCGGAGUCUUGGAUGAGAUCCCGGACGUCACGAGGAGUUCCGAAAUGGUCCGGAAACGAAGAUUGAUAUAUAUGAAGUUGGUAUUUGGAUUCUGGAAGGUUUUCGGGCAUUGUCGGCAGUGUACCGGGAGUGACGAAUGGGUUCCGGGGGCCCACUGGGUGGGCCCACCACACCCCAAGGGGUCCACGUAGGUUUAUUGGAUGCACAAUAAGGCAUAAUGCGCUGACAAAGUCAUCCAAGGAAAUCCCAUGAGGAAAAAGUGGAAAAUCCAAAAGAGAUGGGAUAUUAAGGAAGGAGUCCUUAUCCAAGUGGGAUUGGAGGAGGACUCCUCCCUCCUCCACUUCGGCUGACCCAAGGGCUCCUCCCUUGUGGCGCCAAGGCAACCUCCUCCAUCCUCCUAUAUAUACUAGAGGUUUAGGGCUUUUGAGAUACAACUUUGCCACGUGCAACCCUAAACCUCUACUUCGUAGUUCUUCCUCUAGAUCGGUUUUCUGCGGAGGUCGGGCGGAGCUCGGGCAGAGCCCUUCAGGAAUAGAUCAUCACCAUCACCGGCGCACCGUCACGCUGUCGGAGAAGUCAUCUACUUCCCCGUCUCUCUUGCUGGAUCAAGAAUACGGAGAUCGUCAUCGAGCUGUACGUGUGCUGAACGCGGAGGUGCCAUCCGUUCGGUGCUAGAUCGGGACGGAUCGUGGGACGACGGUGAUUUGAAUCAUGAAGCUGUUCCACUACAUCAACCGCGUUUCUUAACACUUCCCGCUUAGCGAUCUACAAGGGUACGUGGAUCUGAUCUCCCUCUUGUAGAUGAACAUCACCAUGAUAGGUCUUCCUGUGCGUAGGCAAUUUUUUGUUUCCCAUGCAGUGCUCCCCAACAAUUUUAAAAUCUCCAAUGAUAACCGUGGGCGUAGGCUCAAUGCAUUAAUAUUAUUAACCAUAGUUUUCUUAUUCAAAAAAUGCACGAUAUUUUGCUUGCCACUGACAUGAAAAGUAAGCUUGCUUUUGUUGCUAUCAAUAACAACCCCUGCAGUAUUUAGAAAGGGUCUACCAAGGAUGAUAGACAUAUUGUCGUACUCGGGCAUAUCAAGAAUAACAAAGUCUGUUAAGAAGUAACAUUUCCAACCACAACAGGAACAUCCUCGCAAAUUCCAAUAGGUAAAUUAGUGGAUUUAUCAGCCAUUUGCAAAGAUAUCUCACUGGGUGUAAGCUUAGAAAAAUAUAAUCUUUUCUAAAUAGAGAAAGGAAUAACACUAACACCAGGUCCUAAAUCACAUAGAGCAGUUUUAACAUAAUUUCUUUUAAUAGCCAAGGUAUUUUGGGUACACCAGGAUCUCCCAACUUCUUAGGUACUCCACCAUGAAAAUAAUAAUUAGCAAGCAUAGUAGCAAUUUUAGUUUCAUGUAGUUUUCUUUUGUUGGUAAUAAUAUCCUUCAUAUACUUAGCAUAGAGAGGCAUUUUCAAUCUACGAGUCAAGCGAGUGCGCAAAAAGACAGGUCUAAUCAUUUCAGCAAAGCGCUCAAAUUCUUCCUCGUCCUUAACUUUAGAAGGCUUACGAGGGGAGGACAUGGGUUUCUGAACCCAUGGCUCUCUUUAUUUUCCAUGUUUUCUAGGAACAAAGUCUCUUUUGUCAUAGAGUUUAUUCUUAGUGUGUGGGUUAUCAACAUUUUCAGCAUGUUCUAUUUCCACAUAAUUAUUAGGUUCCUUAUUACUAUAUGGUGGAUCUUAUACAUGUAAAUCAUUAUUAUCAUUAUCAUUAUCACUAAGUUCAUGUUCACUACCAGAUUGUGUCUCAGCAUCUCAAAUGGAAAUAUCAUUAUUUUUCUCAACAGGAUUAAUAGAAGCAUGCAAAGCCCUAUCAUCUUUGUUUUUCUUGUUUCUUUUUAGAUGAGCUAGGUGCAUCUUCAUUAAUUCUCUGAGAAUCUUGUUCAAUUCUUUUAGAUUCCUGAGUCAUUCUACCUCCUCUAGUCAUUACUCUAACAUCAUGACCAUUCAUAUCAUUAUUUAUCUUAGCAAACAAAUCAUUUUGUGACUUAACAACUUGGUCUAGUUGGUCAUGAACCAUAGAAGCAUGUUUACCUAGAACUUUCACAUCAUUAGCAAUUCUGAACAUAGUGUCACUUAAGCGGUCUAUCAUCAUGGAAUUACGUCUUAAUUGAUCUUUAACAUAAUUAUUGAAGUGCUUUCGCUUAACAAUGUAAUUAUCAAAUUCAUCCAUCCAUUUACUCGGAGUCUUAGUAUAAUGUAUAUCACUUUCAUUAAAGGAAUGGAGACAAUUUAACUCUACUAUCUGUGUCAGGGUAUCAAGUCCAUGUAUUCCUUUGAUAGGUGGUAAAUUCUUGACAUCUUCAGUUUUAGUACCUUUCUCUUUCAUAGAUCUUUUUUGCUUCUUGCAUAUCUUCAGGGUUGAGGAAUAGAAUACCUCUCUUCGUUUGAAUAGGUUUUGGAGGUGGUUCAGGGACUGGCCAAUCAACGACAUUUUGCAAUAUGUUAUUCAAUAAUUCUCCAUCGUGUCCAACAGUUAUUUCCCUUAAAACAAAACCAUCACAACUAUCUAGGAAGUACCUAGAAGCAUUGGUUAGUACAUUAUAAAAGAUAUCAAGGAUUUCAUUUUUCUUAAGAGGAUGAUCACGCAAAGCUCUCACUAGUAGAAAACAUGGCUUUGGUCCUGGCCUGAUAAGAGCAUUAGUCCCGGUCGACUUACGAACCGGGACUAAUGCGUGCAUCAGUCCCGGGUUGAGCGGCCAAGACGCCGGUCGGGCCUCAAUGGGCAUCAGUCCCAGUUCGUGCCACAAAUCGGGUCUAAAGGUCCUAGCUCCUCGCGCAACACCUUUAGUCCCGAUUCGUGUAUGGAACCGGGAAUAAAUGGCUAUCUUCAGUCCCAGUUCUAGACACCAACCGGGACUAAAAGAUUGCAUAUAUAAAUGCUCCUCCCUGCCCGCUGAUAUGUCCAUUUUGCAUCAUGCUUUGAUGUUGAUAUUUAUUGCUUUAUGGGCUAUUAUAUUACUUUGUGGUACCAUAUUUAUGCCUUUUCUCUCUUAUUUUGCAAGGUUUAUUUGAAGAGGGAGAAUUCUGGCAACUGGAAUUCUGGACCGGAAAAGGAGCAAAACUGAGUCCUCUAUUCUACACAUCUCCAAAUGCCCUGAAAAGUUACAUGGAAUUUUUUGGGAUUAUAUAAAAAAAACUUUUCGAAAGAAGUACCAGAGGGGAGCUACCACGGCGCCACAAGCCUGGUAGCCGCCACCCCCCCCCCCCCCGUGGUGGCGGCUAAAGGGCUUGUGGGCUCCCUGACGGCCCACUGGCCCCCUUCUUUUGCUAUCUGAAGGGUUUCGUUCCAGAAAAAAUUAGUAGGGAGAUUUUUCGUGGUUUCGCCGCCGCCACGAGGCGGAACUUGAGCAGAUCCAAUCUAGAGCUCCGGCAGGACGAUCCUGCCGGGGAAACUUCCCUCCCGGAGGGGGAAAUCAUCGCCAUCGUCAUCACCAACACUCCUCUCGUCGGAGGGGAGGCAUCUUCAUCAGCACCAUCUCCUCUCUAAUACCUAGUUCAUCUCUUGUAACCAAUCUCCGUCUCGCGACUCUGAUUGGUACUUGUGAGGUUGCUAGUAGUGUUGAUUACUCUUUGUAGUUGAUGCUAGUUGGAUUACUUGGUGGAAGACUUUAUGUUCAGAUCCUUGAUGCUAUUCAUUACACCUCUGAUCAUGAUUAUGAUUAUGCUUUGUGAGUAGUUACUUUUGUUCCUGAGGACAUGGGAUAAGUCAUGUUAAUAAUAGUCAUGUGAAUUUUGAUAUUCGUUCGGUAUUUUGAUAGGUUGUAUGUUGUCUUUUCCUCUAGUGGUGUUAUAUGAACGUCGACUACAUAACACUUCACCAUAUUUGGGCCUAGAGUAAGACAUUGGGGAGUAGUAAGUAGAUGAUGGGUUGCUGGAGUGACAGAAGCUUAAACCCCAGUCUAUGUGUUACUUCGUAAGGGGCUGAUUUGGAUCCACUAGUUUAAUGCUAUGGUUAGAUGUUGUCUUAAUUCUUCUUUCGUAGUUGCUGAUGCUUGCGAGAGGGGUUAAUCAUAAGUGGGAUGCUUGUCCAAGUAAGGGCAGUACCCAAGCGCCGGUCCACCCACAUAUCAAACUAUCAAAGUAACGAACGCGAAUCAUAUGAACAUGAUGAAACUAGCAUGACAGAAAUUCCCUUGUGUCCUCGGGAGCGUUUUUCCUCCUAUAAGACUUUGUUCAGGCUUGUCCCUUGCUACAGAAGGGAUUGGGCCACUUUCUGCACCGUUGCUACUACUUGUUACUUGUUACUUUUUGCUUGCUACGUUUCACCUCACUACACCAUCACGUGUUACCGCUACUUUAAGUGCUUGCAGUUAUUACCUUGCUGAAAACCGUUUAUCAAAGCCUUCUUCUCCUCGUUGGGUUCGACACUCUUACUUAUCGAAAGGACUACGAUUGAUCCCCUAUACUUGUGGUUCAUCAAGACUCUUUUCUGGCGCCAUUGCGGGGGAGUGAAGCGCCUUUGGUAAGUGGAAAUUGGUAAUGAAACAUUUAUAUACUGUGCUGAAAUUUAUUGUCACUUGUCACUAUGGAAAUUGUUCCUUUGAGGAGUUUGUUCGGGGUAUCUUCACCACGAACAGAAGCACGAGGAGUUUUCCUCAACCUGAGGUACCUACUGAAAAUAUCUUUUAUGAAAUUCCUUCGGGUAUGCUUGAGAAACUGCUGGCUAAUCCUUUUACACGAGAUGGAUCUUCACAUCCAGCCUUGCAUCUGAUCUAUGUAGAUGAAGUUUGUGGUUUAUUUAAGCCUGAAGGUUUGCCCGAGGAUGAGGUGAAGAAGAAAGUCUUUCCUUUAUCUUUGAAGGAUAAGGCGUUGACAUGGUAUAGGCUAUGUGAUGAUACUGGAUCAUGGGACUACAAUCGGUUGAAAUUGGAAUUCCAUCAAAAGUUCUAUCCUAUGCAUUUAGUACAUCGUGAUCGGAAUUAUAUUUAAAACUUUUGGCCUUGUGACAGGGAAAGCAUAGCUCAACCUUGGGAGGCUUAAAUCAGUGCUAUAUUCAUGCCCCAAUCAUGAGCUCUCGAGAGAAAUUAUCACUCAAAACUUUUAUGCUCGGCUUUCUCAUGAAGAUCGUACCAUGCUUGACACUUCUUGUAUCGGUUCUUUUAUGAAGAAGGAUAUUGACCACAAGUGGAAUUUAUUGGAAAGAAUCAAACGUAACUCUGAAGAUUGGGAGCUGGAGGAAGGUAAGGAGUCAGGUAUGAAUUUCCAGUUUGAUUGCGUUAAAUCUUUUGUUGAGACAAACACUUCUAGAGAUUUUAGCGCUAAGUAUGGACUUGACUCUGAGAUAGUAGCUUCUCUAUGUGAAUCUUUUGCUGCUCAUGUUGAUCUUCCCAAAGAGAAGUGGUUUAAGUAUCAUCCUCCUGUAGAAAGCAACAUAGUCAAAACCAAUCUAGUUGAGGAGAAAGUCAUUGCUUUUAGUGAUCCUGUUGUUCCUUGUGCCUAUGCCGAGAAACCACCAUACCCUGCUAGGAUAAAAGAUUAUUCUAAAGCGCCAACUGUGAUACGUAGGGGUUACAUUAGACCACUUGCACCCCCUGAGGAGAUUAGAGUUGAACCUAGUGUUGCCAUUAUCAAAGAUCUCUUAGCCGAAGACAUAGAUGGUCAUGUUAUCAAAUUCUGUGAGGACUCUGCUAGAAUUGCUAAACCUCACGCGAAAGACAAAUACGGACAUGUAGUUGGCCUGCCCGUUGUUUCUGACAAGAUAGGAGAUCAUUGUUACCAUUGUUUAUGUGAUAUGGGAGCUAGUGUUAGUGCAAUACCCCGUUCCCUAUAUGAUGAAAUAAAAGAUGAGAUUGCACCUGCUGAGUUAGAACCCAUUGAUGUCACUAUUACGCUAGCUAAUAGAGACACUAUCUGCCCUAUGGGAAUUGUGAGAGACGUAGAAGUCAUGUGUGGUAAGACAAAGUAUCCUACUGGUUUCCUCGUCCUUGGUACUGCACAAGAUAGCUUUUGUCCCAUCAUAUUCGGUAGACCCUUUCUCAACACUGUCAAUUCUCACAUUGAUUGCAUUAAGCAGACUAUCACAGUUAGUUUCGAGGGUGUGUCUCAUGAAUUUAACUUCUCCAAGUUUGGAAGACAACCCCAUGAAAAAGAGUCGUCUGGUAGGGAUGAAAUCGUUGCUCUUGCCUCUAUUGUCGAACCUCCUACGGAUCCUUUAGAGCAAUAUCUGCUUGAGCAUGAAAAUGAUAUGCAUAUGGAGGAAAGAGAUCAGAAAGAUAAAAUUGUCUUAGAACAAUAUCCUAUUCUCAAGAAUAAUCUGCCUGUUGAAGUGCUUGGGGACCGUCCCCCACCAAAGGGUGAUCCUGUGUUCGAGCUUAAACAGUUGGCUGAUACUCUUAAAUAUGCCUAUCUUGAUGAGGAGAUAUAUCCUGUUAUUAUUAGUGCUCUCCUCUCAGAGCACGAAGAGAAGAAUUUACCAAAAACUCUGAGGAAGCACCGUGAUGCUAUUGGAUAUACUCUUGAUGAUCUUAAGGGUAUUAGUCCCACUCUAUGUCAGCACAAGAUUAAAACCGAUCCUGAUUCUAAACCAGUUGCUGAUCAUCAAAGGAGAUUAAAUCCUAAGAUGAAAGAGGUCGUUAGAAAAGAAAUAUUAAAGCUUCUAGAAGCAGGAAUCAUUUAUCCUGUUUCUCAUAGUGAUUGGGUGAGUCCAGUACAUUGCGUACCUAAGAAGGGAGGUAUCACUGUCGUUCCUAAUGAUAAGGAUGAACUAAUCCCACAAAGCAAUAUUACCGGCUAUAGGAUGGUGAUAGACUUCCGGAAACUGAACAAGGCAACCAGGAAAGAUCAUUAUCCUUUGUCGUUUAUCGACCAAAUGCUAGAAAGGCUAUCCAAACACACACACUUUUGCUUUCUAGACGGUUAUUCAGGUUUCUCUCAAAUACCUGUUGCACAAUCUGAUUAGGAGAAAACCACUUUCACCUGCCCCUUCGGUACAUUUGCUUAUAGACGUAUGCCUUUUGGCUUAUGCAAUGCACUUGCCACCUUUCAAAGAUGCAUGAUGGCUAUAUUCUCUGACUUUUGUGAAAAGAUUGUCGAGGUUUUCAUGGAUGACUUCUCCGUUUACGGGUCUUCCUUUGAUGAUUGCCUCAGCAACCUUGAUCGAGUCUUACAGAGAUGCAAAGAUACCAACCUCGCCUUGAAUUGGGAGAAGUGCCACUUUAUGGUUAAUGAAGGUAUCGUCUUAGGACACAAAAUUUCUGAAAGAGGCAUUGAAGUUGAUAAGGCUAAGGUUGAUGCAAUUGAGAAAAUGCCUUGCCCCACAAAUAUCAGAGGUAUACGAAGUUUCCUAGGUCAUGAUGGUUUUUAUAGAAGGUUCAUUAAAGACUUCUCUAAGAUUUCUAGGCCUCUUACCAACCUUUUGCAGAAGGAUGUUCCUUUUGUUUUUGAUGAGGAUUGUGAGGAAGCUUUCGAAAUACUUAAGAAGGCUUUGAUAACCGCACCUAUUGUUCAACCACCUGACUGGAACUUGCCCUUUGAAAUCAUGUGCGACGCUAGUGAUUAUGCUGUUGGUGCUGUUCUAGGACAAAGAGUUGACAAGAAGUUGAAUAUUAUUCACUACGCCAGUAAAACUCUAGACAGUGCCCAAAGAAACUAUGCCACUAUGGAAAAGGAGUUUUUAGCAGUCGUUUUGCAUGUGAAAAGUUCAGAUCUUAUAUAGUUGACUCCAAAGUCACUAUUCACUCUGAUCAUGCUGCUAUUAAGUACCUUAUGGAGAAGAAGGACGCUAAGCCUAGGCUGAUCAGAUGGUUCUCCUGCUACAGGAAUUUGAUUUGCACGUCAUUGAUCGAAAGGGUGCUGAUAACCCUGUAGCAGAUAACUUGUCCCGGCUAGAGAAUGUCCUUGAUGACCCACGACCUAUUGAUGACAGCUUUCCUAAUGAGCAAUUAAAUGUCAUCCGCACUUCACAUAGUGCACCGUGGUAUGCCGAUUACACAAAUUAUAUCGUAGCCAAAUACAUACCACCCAGUUUCACCUAUCAGCAAAAGAAGAAAUUCUUCUUUGAUUUGAGACACUACUUUUGGGAUGAUCCUCACCUUUAUAAGGAAGGAGUAGAUGGUGUUAUUAGACGUUGUGUGCCUGAACACGAACAGGGACAGAUCUUGCAGAAGUGUCAUUCCGAAGCCUACGGAGGACACCAUGCUGGAGAUAGAACUGCUCAUAAGGUAUUGCAAUCAGGUUUCUAUUGGCCCACUCUCUUCAAGGAUGUCCGUAAGUUUGUCUUGUCUUCUGACGAAUGCCAAAGAAUAGGGAACAUCAGUAAGCGUCAGGAAAUGCCUAUGAACUAUUCACUUGUCAUUGAACCAUUUGAUGUCUGGGGCUUUGAUUAUAUCGGACCCUUCCCGAGUUCCAAUGGGUACACUCACAUCUUAGUCGCUGUGGAUUACGUCACUAAGUGGGUAGAAGCUAUCCCCACUAAAAAUGCUGAUCACCACACCUCUAUUAAGAUGCUUAAAGAAGUCAUUUUCCCAAGAUUUUGAGUCCCUAGAUAUUUGAUGACUGAUGGCGGUUCACACUUCAUUCAUGGUGUUUUCCGCAAGAUGCUCGCUAAGUAUGAUAUCAACCAUAGAGUUGCAUCUCCUUAUCAUCCUCAGUCUAGUGGUCAAGUGGAGUUGAGUAAUAGGGAGAUCAAAUUGAUCCUACAAAAGACUGUCAAUAGAUCUCGAAAGAAUUGGUCUAGCAAACUUGACGAUGCACUAUGGGCUUAUAGGACUGCUUAUAAGAAUCCCAUGGGCAUGUCGCCAUUUAAAAUGGUUUACGAUAACGCCUGUCAUUUACCUCUUGAGCUGGAACACAAAGCUUAUUGGGCAAUCAAAGAGCUCAACUUCGAUUUCAAACUUGCCGGUGAGAAGCGGUUGUUUGAUAUCAGCUCAUUAGAUGAAUGGAGGGCCCAGGCAUAUGAGAAUGCCAAGUUGUUCAAGGAAAAGGUUAAGAGAUGGCACGAUAAACGAAUACAGAAACGGGAGUUCAAUGUAGGUGACUAUGUCCUGAUAUACAAUUCUCGCUUAAGAUUCUUCGCAGGCAAGCUUCUCUCUAAAUGGGAAGGUACUUACGUUAUCGAGGAAGUAUAUCGUUCCGGUGCCAUCAAAAUCAAUAACACGGAAGGAAAUUUUCCUAGAGUGCUAAAUGGGCAAAGAAUCAAGCACUAUAUCUCCGGUACUCCCAUAAAUGUUGAGACCAAUAUCAUCAACAUCAUAACUCGAGAGGAGUACAUAAGGGAUGUUUAUCAGCCUGUUUCAGACCCUGAAAACAAAGAGGUAUCUGUUUCGGUAAGUAAUUAGACUCCGAAGCUUUUCCAAUAGGAAAUUUCCUCCGUUUUGGAUUUUUUGGAAAAUUAGAAAAAUAAAAAGCAGUCUGGAGAGCGCACGAGGCGGCCACAAGCUUGAUAGCCGCCACCUACCCCACUGGUGGCGGCUAGAGGGCUUGUGGGCACCUCGUGUGCCUCCCGGACUCCGUUUUCUUGCGGAGCACUCCUUCUGGUCCAGAAAAAAUCAAUAUAUUUACGCCCGAGGGUUUUGAUCUCCGUAUCGCGCAGUUUUCCUCUGUUUUCGUUUCGAGCCUCUCGUCUACCACAGAUUUAGGCCAAGAUGUCUUCUCAAGAUUCAGAAGAAGAGAUCUAUGUGGCCGAUAAUCUUGCUAACUCCAGGAUUAAUGGGGACUUAGAACCAUAUGGUUGGACCACUGACGAGGAAGAGGACUAUGAGCCCAAGGGAAAGGAACAAACGAGUUCCAAUGAAGAGGAGGUUCCUUUACCUCAACCUGCAAACACCCAUGUGGAGUUCAAGAAGUCAAGCCUCCCCAACUCCAGGAAGAAGCCUAAGACCAUAUUUAUCCCCUCUCGUUUCUUGCAGGAGAGUAAGCAGGUGCUUUGCCAUAGAGUGUUGAAACUUGAGGAGGACAAUGACGAUCUGACGAAGCAGAACUUUUUGCUCAAGUGGAAAUUAGACAAGCUCAAUACUGCUUCAACAACAACAACACCAUCACCACCAAAGGAAGACAACUAAGCAUUGGUAUGGGCAAUCCCCUUGGCUUUUUCUAAGCUUAGGGGAGUUGCCCUAGUAUCGUAUCACCUUUAUAUCUUUUGCUUUUACCUUUGUUUUAGUUCUUUCCUUUUCAGUUUUUAUUUCUUCUCUUAGAGGAAUAAGUCUUUAGUGUUUAGUUUGAGUCUUUUUCUUUUGUCUCUCCCCCGAUGUAUUCGAGCUUACGAGCUAUAUAAUAAAGAGUAUCUCAGUCAAGGGCUUUGCUUUAUGUCAUGAUCAAAAGUAUGAAAAGAACGAUAGCAUGAAAGAUCAUGAGAUGAUCUUAUGGAAAGUGAUAGCUUCACAUGUGACACGUAUGAUGAUUGAAACUUGUUGAGAAUAAAUCAACAUAGACCUCAGUCAUUGUUGCAAUUAAUAAGAAGUAAUAAGGAAAGAGAGGUUCACAUAUAAAUAUAUCAUCUUAGACACUUUUUACAACUGUGAGCACUCACAAAACUAUUACAUGCUUAGGAGUAGAUGUUGGACAAGGAAGACAACAUAAUGAAUUGUGUUUGCUUGGUUCCAAAUAAUGUUAUAUGAUUAGAGAUCCCUUAGCAUGUGACGAUUGCUUCCACCUCAUAUUAGCCAAAACUCCCGCACCAAGUAGAGAUACUAUUUGUGCAUCCAUAAACCUUCCACCCAGUUUUGCCAUGAGAGUCCACCAUACCUACCUAUGGAUUGAAUAAGAUUCUUCAAGUAAGUUGUCAUCGGUAAAAGCAAUAAAAAUUGCUCUCUAAUAUGUAUGAUCUAUUAGUGUGUGGAAAAUAAGCUUUGUACGAACCUGUGAUGAGGAAGACAUAAAAGCGACAGACUGCAUAAUAAAGUUCUUUAUCACAGGAGGCAAUAUAAGUGACGUUCCUCCGCACUAAGAGGACACGCAUUCAAACCUCAAAAGCGCAUGACAAUCCCUGCUUCCCUCUGCGAAGGGACUAUCUUGUACCUUUACUUUUAGCCCUUGUAAGAGUCAUGGUGAUCUUCACCAAUUCCCAAUUUUUGCCUUUGUCUUGGCUAUCGUCCCAUGCUUGGGAAAGAUCUAUAUUCAUAUAUCAACUUGGAGUUGAGUACCUAUGCUUUAUUAUUGUUGACUUUACCCUUGAGGUAAAUGGUUGGGAGGCAAAACUAUAAGCCCCUAUCUUCCUCUGUGUCCAGCUGAAACUUUGAUACCAUGAGUACCACGUGAGUUGUAACAAUUGUGGAAAAUAAAAGAGAUGAUUGAGUAUGUGGGUUUGCCUUACAAGCUCUUAUUUGACUCUUUCUGAUGUUAUGAUAAAUUGCAAUUGCUUCAAUGACUUUGGACUGUUGUUGGUUACUUCUCGGUAAGGUUUUUGCUUCAUGCUUUGCUUUGUGAAGGAAUUGUUACUUUCCCAUAAGAAUCUUUAUGAUGUAUUGUUGUUCUAUGUGUGAUCGUGAUGCCCUCAUGUCCGUAUUAUGUUUUAUCGACACCUCUGUCCCUAAACAUGUGGACAUGUUUAUGGAACUUGGUUUUCGCUUGAGGACAACGAGGUCUAAGCUUGGGGGAGUUGAUACGUCCAUUUUGCAUCAUGAUUUCAUGUUGAUAUUUAUUGCUUUAUGGGCUGUUAUAUUACUUUGUGGUACCAUAUUUAUGCCUUUUCUCUCUUAUUUUUGCAAGGUUUAUUUGAAGAGGGAGAAUUCAGGCAGCUGGAAUUCUGGACUGGAAAAGGAGCAAAUCUGAGUCCUCUAUUCUACACAUCUCCAAAUGCCCUGAAAAGUUACAUGGAAUUUUUUUGGGAUUAUAUAAAAAAUACUGGGCAAAAGAAGUACCACACGGGAGCUACCACGGCGCCACAAGCCUGGUAGCCGCCACCCCCCUAGUGGCGUCUACAAGGCUUGUGGGCUCCCUGACGAACCACUGGCCCCCCUCUUUUGCUAUAUGAAGGGUUUCAUUCCAGAAAAAAUCAAUAGGGAGCUUUUUCGUGGUUUCGCCGCCGCCACAAGGCGGAACUUGAGAAGAUCCAAUCUAGAGCUCCGGCAGGACGAUCCUGCCGGGGAAACUUCCCUCCCGGAGGGGGAAAUCGUCGCCAUCGUCAUCACCAACACUCCUCUCGUCGGAGGGGAGGCAUCUUCAUCAACAUCCUCAUCAGCACCAUCUCCUCUCCAAUCCCUAGUUCAUCUCUUGUAACCAAUCUCUAUCUCGCGACUCAGAUUGGUACUUGUAAGGUUGCUAGUAGUGUUGAUUACUCUUUGUAGUUGAUGCUAGUUGGAUUACUUGGUGGAAGACUUUAUGUUCAGAUCCUUGAUGCUAUUAAUUACACCUCUGAUCAUGAUUAUGAUUAUGCUUUGUGAGUAGUUACUUUUGUUCCUGAGGACAUGGGAUAAGUCAUGUUAAUAAUAGUCAUGUGAAUUUGAUAUUUGUUCGGUAUUUUGAUAUGUUGUAUGUUGUCUUUUCCUCUAGUGGUGUUAUGUGAACGUCGACUACAUAACACUUCAACAUAUUUGGGCCUAGAGGAAGGCAUUGGGGAGUAGUAAGUAGAUGAUGGGUUGUUGGACUGACAGAAGCUUAAACCCCAGUCUAUGCGUUGCUUCGUAAGGGGCUGAUUUGGAUCCACUAUUUUAAUGCUAUGGUUAGACGUUGUCUUAAUUCUUCUUCCGUAGUUGUGAAUGCUUGCGAGAGGGGUUAAUCAUAAGUGGGAUGCUUGUCCAAGUAAGGGCAGUACCCAAGCGCCGGUCCACCCACAUAUCAAACUAUCAAAGUAACGAACGCGAAUCAUAUGAACAUGAUGAAACUAGCAUGACAGAAAUUCCCGUGUGUCCUCGGGAGCGUUUUUCCUCCUAUAGACUUUGUUUAGGCUUGUCCCUUGCUACAAAAGGGAUUGUUCCACUUGAUGCACCGCUGCUGCUACUUGUUACUUGUUACUUUUCGCUUGCUACGUUUCACCUCACUACACCAUCACGUGUUACCGCUACUUUCAGUGCUUGCACUUAUUACCUUGCUGAAAACCGUUUAUGAGAGCCUUCUGCUCCUCGUUGGGUUUGACACUCUUACUUAUCGAAAGGACUACGAUUGAUCCCCCAUACUUGUGGGUCAUCACCCAUUCACUCCUCUCAUUUUUGGCCGGCGAGCGUGUGGAGUUGUGUCCUACUCUAGUUCUCACCUCCUAUGCACAUGAGGUGUUUGAUGAAAUGGCCGAGCCACCUCAAAUUAACUUUUUAGUUUGCAUAUGUGUAGGGUGUCGUCCCGUCCCCGUGCACGUCGUCCUCUCCCCCGUCCAUUACCCGUGCCAAUCUCGUAGAUCGCCUGCACCACCGUGGUGAGCCUCUUGUUCUUAAUUAUCUUUUUUAGAGAAACAAUUCUGACUUGUAUGAUUUAUAUAGCUACAUGUAUAAUUUCUUAGUUCUAUUAUUGUUUGUUAUUACAUAGUGCCAUGGUUUUGGUAUCCGCCCCCGUCGGCUCUCGUCCGGUCUAUGAUUCAGAUAUGGUACAUAUCUUUUAUAACUAUUUGUUUUAUUUAGUAUUUAUGACAAUUAUACUGACCAACUUGACAUAGAUGUCUUUAUAUAGGAGGUAUGUGAACCGGAAAUUCCAACUGACCAUCUUAUCGAGAGGUUAAAUAUAGUUGAAAAAGAAAAAAAUAUUUGAAAUAAAAAUUGAAAAGAGUUGAAGAAGAGAAGAUGAAAUUGGAGAUGCAAUGCGCUUGAAGAUUAAAAUAAUUAGAAAACAUGUCGUUGAUAAUGAGGCUUGGUACCAUUAUGUUGUUGGAUCAAUUGUUACCUUAGUUGCGAUUUUGGUCGCAUUUGUUGUUGCAUUUAAAUGUUUUACAUAGUUGUAUUUUAGUUUCAAUGUAUGUUUUAGUUAGAUUCUCUAGAGAGUUGUAUGUUGUUCUAUGAGGACUAUAUGUAUUGAAUAUAUGUAUUUGUUUUUUCAGUAAUAAUAUUUUAUGAUGAACUUGUAUUAAUUUGGUCACGUUUCUCUAUUCAUGAUGUUUUGUAAUGUCUGUACACGAAGUGCAUCCAGUUUUUGUGAUAAUCCUCUCAACUUUUUAGCACAUGUUAUGUGGGUGAAAUUAUGAUACCAUGCCAAGUUUCAACCUUUUCACAUUUCAUUUGUAGUGCUUUUAAAUUUCAGGGUCAUUUAGCUCAAAAAUGAUUAAAUGCAUGAAAAGUAGCAAAUGAAGUCAGGAAAGGGUUGAAAAUUGAUGGUGUGGCUUUGAAUGGUGCAUAUUGACCUCACAAAUAGUCUGGAGUUAAACUAUGUUCAAAAAAAUGAAAUCCCUUUGUAAUAAAUGAGUUUUCGUCUGAAACCCUCAUACUUCAAAAGAGAUUAUUCAGUUCGUACACAAAGUGCAUCCAGUUUUUCCCAUAACCCUCUCAACUUUUUAGCACAUGCUAUGUGGGUGAAAUUAUGAUACCACGACAAGCUUCAACCUUUUCGGAGUUCAUUUGUAGUGCUUUUCAAUUUCAGGGUCAUUUAGCUCAAAAAGUGAUUGAAUGCAUGAAAAAUAGCAAAUGAAGUCAGGAAAGGAUUGAAAAAAUUAUGAUGUGGCUUUGAAUGGUGCAUAUUGACCUCACAAAUAGUUUGGAGUUAAACUAUGUUCAAAAAAAUGAAAUCGCUUUAUAAUAGAUGAGUUUUUGUCCGAAACCCUCAUACUUCGAUAUAGAUUGUCGAGUUUGUACACAUAGUUUAUCCAGUUUUUUCCAUAACCCUCUCAACUUAUUAUCACAUGCUAUGUGGGUGAAAUUAUGAUACCAUGUCAAAUUUCAACCUUUUCAGAGUUCAUUUGUAGCGCUUUUCAAUUUCAGGUUCAUUUAGCUCAAAAAAUGAUUAAAUGCAUGAAAAGUAGCAAAUGAAGUCAUGAAAGGGUUGAAAAUUGAUGAGGUGGCUUUGAAUGGUGCAUAUUGACCUCAAAAAUAGUCUGGAGUUAAACUAUGUUAAAAAAAAAUCCCUUUGUAAUAGAUGAGUUUUCGUCCGAAACCCUCAUACUUCGUAAGAGAUUGUCUAGUUUGUACACGAAGUCCAUCGAGUUUUUACCAUAACCGUCUCAACUUUUUAGCACGUGAGAUGUGGGUGAAAUUAUGAUACCAUGCCAAGUUUCAACCUUUUCAGAGUUCAUUUUUAGUGCUUUUAAAUUUUAGGGUCAUUUAACACAAAAAUUUGAUUAAAUGCAUGAUAAUAAAUUAGGUUAACAAAAAGUACUAGGUUAAACUAAUUAAUUAACAGAAAAGAAAAUAUAACAUUAUUAGGUUAACAAAAAGUAUUUUAUAAUAUUCUUUAUUUCUAGUGAUUUUCAAUUUCACGGCCAUUUAGCUCAAAAACUCAUUAAAAAGUAUUUUAUAAUACAAAACUAUAAUAUUCUUCAAUAGCAAAAAGAAUGAACUAAAAAGAUUUUAUAAACCUCUAGUUAUGAUCAAAAUUAUAAUAACUUAAAAUUAUAUAAAAUUUAAAAACUAAAAUUAUCAAAGUAUUUUUUGAUAAAGCUUGAAUAAGAAAAAUAUUUUUUACAAAAUAUUUUUGUUAAAAACUAUAGUAGCAAAAAAAUAACAUAAAAAAAUUAAAAAGCUCGCCUACAAGGCCACCACGGCCCGCAUACGACUAGAAAUCCUACCAAACAUGGGCGAGGAUGAAGGCCCGCAGGGCAAGUAGGCCCAAUAGGGGCAGGCCUGCAAGAAAUAGGCCCAACAUAUUAUGCUUUAGAGAGGAGCUCGAAUCUCGAGCCGUAGCGGUGCUUAUAAACACCUGUGUGCGACUCUCGCUUGGCGAGGUGGGACUAAAAUUGCACCACCCCGACGCAGUCCGAGGAACAUACAUUUAGUCCCAGUUGGAGCCACAAACCGGGACUAAAGCGGUACCUUUAGUCCUGGUUGGUGGCUCCAACCGGGACUAAAGGAGAAAUUUUGCCCGUCGAAAGGGCGGGAGCCUAGGCAUUUAGUCCCGGUUGGUGCCUCCAACCGGGACUAAAUGCAUGGGUAUAUAAGCCACCAGGCCACCGGCCUCCUCACCUCGAUUCAGUUACUCCUCCCCCUCUCCCCGAUGACGUUGACGACCACCUCGACGCCCCAGGUUGUCACACCUCACUGCCGACGCCCUCGUCGCGCCGUGCCCCUCUGCCCCGACUAGCGCGCUACCCCGACGAGCGUGCUGCCCCGACGCAACCGCUCCCCGUCGUGAGCCGCCCUGCCUGACACCGCUGCUACCUGCGCCCCUGCCGUGCCACGACGCCACUGCUCCCCGUCAUGAGCCGCCCUGCCCCGAUGGUGCUCCUGCCCGCGCCCCUGCCCUGCCCCGACGUCGCCUCUCCCCAUCGUGAGCCGCCCUGCCCCGACGCCGCUGCCUCCCGUGCCCUUUCCUUGCCCCGCCGCCGCCGUUCCAGUCGGUCAGGUAUACUCCCUCCUCCCUCCCACCCCUCUCCUCCCUUCUUCCUCGCCCAAGGCAAAUUGUUUUAGCUCUAGGGAUCAUUUGCUCGUGGAUGAACAAUAAAUUGGAUAUAAAUAGUAAAAUGUUCUAAAAUAUGAUUUGUUUUGUUGAUGUUCAUGUUUUUUGUGGGAAUAAUACUUGUAUUACUCAAUUUGCAAGUCCUUACAACAAUCAUCAAGGAGCAACUUCAAAACGUCCUCUAGACCCAAACCAACCCAAGUCAUAGGUCAACCUUGUAGUCUACCAAAACUAGCUAACCGAUUACUAGCUUUAUUUUGAGUGUGAGCCAUAAGAGUAAUACAAGUUUGCCUAAGGCUCAAUAGAUACCUGAUUUCACCAAUUGCAACCAGCAAGAGGUAUACACUGACCGAUAUGGUUCGUCACUUGAAAUCAUCGCCACCGCCAUGCUUGAGUCCAUCUCAAUCACAAUUGGAUGGUUUGAUCAUUGGAUAGCAAAGGAAAUUCCUUCCAUACAAGCACACAAUUAUGUUUCCCUUUCAACUGAUCCUGAGUUGGACCUUCACUGAUGCUUGACAAAGCUACAAAGUAUUCCCGCAAGAACCUCAGCGAGACAAUCAUGAGUGGGGCGGGUUUAGAAUGCACCAACUGAUUAGUAAAUUCAUGCCCAAUCUUAUGUUUGUUUUUCCAGGUUGGUAAUGAAUCAAUCGAUAGUCUCCAAGAAAAAAAAAUCAUGUGAAGUAGAUUUCAAUCGGUGAUUGACAAUUUUCAUGCGAAGUAGAUUUCAAAGGGUGCUUGACAAUUUUCAUGUUUUGUUGAUGAAGUAGAUUUCAAUCUAUGGUUUUGUACAACUUUGAUUUAUUCAUGGAUGGUGUCAAUAAAUUGUAAGAAACCAUGGAUAGAGACUUAGAAAAAGAAGAGUUGUUGGGGGAUAUAAUCCGCGACGGAGGUGAUGUUGAUAUCACCUUGUCGUAUCUCAACGACACCGAUCGAAUGGAGGAGGGAGGAGAUAACGGCUCCAGUGAUCGAAUGAAGGAGCGAGGAGAUGACGGCUCCGCCGGUGUUGGAGCCUUAACUAUUGUAAAGUCUCGCGAGGUAUAUAUAUAUUAAUUAAGCUUGUGCUGACUAGAUACAUUAAUUGUUUUGUAUGUGCAUAUAUAAACGCUUCUUUCUUCUUUUAGCCCUCCGGAUCGAGCCAAACUUCUGUAAGGAGAUGAGGCCCGAAGAAAAGGUUGGGCCAGGAUGAAUGGUUCAUGAUCGAAGAAGUCGCUCCAGAUGGCCAACCGAUAGGUCCCAAGAGGAGCAAAGACAAAUUUAUAUAUUAGUGCAGAGUUAUAGUCAGGGACAGCGUCCCGAUCAGUAUCCAAGAAUGGAAUGAGAGGAAGGACGGUGAAGUUUCUUAUGUCGAUGAUAGAUAGAAAUAUGAGCUUUGGAACUCACUGAUGAUAAAUUUCAGCAUACCUGAGAGGAGGAUCCAAAUAACCGAGUUAUAUAGCAAAAGGUCAAGGUGUUCGCUCUUAAGAAGAUGUCGGAACUGUUCAAGAACUGGAUGAAAAUAUUGAACGAGUUUGUCAUGAAAGAUUAGACUCCAGAAUUCACAGGUCAAUUUGCGAAGAUAAAAAAUCACUGGCCCGCAUUUGUGGCGUACAAGAAAUUGGAGAAAGCUAAGCAAAGGUCACAGGUAAAUAAGGAAAAUGCUGUAAAUAAGAAGUAUCACCAUGUUACAGGGUCGGAUGGCUACGAAGUUUCUCGGACUACGUGGGACAAAGCUGAGAAAGACCUACUUGAUAAAGGGGUACAACCAGCGACAUUGCACUGGCCCGAUCGGUCAAGAACUUGGUUCUUCGGGAAUGGGGGAGCUUUGAACCCAGAAACAGGGAAGUGUGUUUUCACAAAAGCUAAACUUGAAACACCCGUCUUAAAUAUUAUCGAAGCAAUCAAGGACACGCAGGAAGGGAGGUUCCAUCCUGACAGAGAGAAGGACGAGCUGACAAAGGCCCUUGGGAAUCCUGAACACCCUGGACGAACACGUGGCACAUCAGGAUCCAUUGUGUGGAAGUAUGGGUUUCCAGCGAGCACAGAUUAUAGAAGUCGAGGGAGAAAGAAGAGAGAGGAAGCAUACCAGAUGCAGAGGAUGGAAGAAAGAUCAUCGCUGCAGGAGAAGAAACUAGAGGCAUAUAGCAGUCAACGAGCUUCUCAGCACCACGAAGCUCCUUCAUUCGAUACUGCCCACAAAGCUACCCCAUCAUCUCAGCAGAAAAGUAGUGUGGCUUCCACUGAGCUCAUUUAGCCUGAUAUCAUGUCUCCUCGCUACUCCGUGGAUGGUAUCACGGAGAGGGAAAAUUGUGUGCUAAUUGCCAAAUGCCAAAACCUAACAUUGAAGAUGGCGGUCGGCUAUGCCUUAUCUCAUCGACCUAAUGAAACUUUCCAUUUCAAUCCAAUUCCAGAUGGCUUUGCUGUUGUCGGGGUGGAUGAAGUGAUGAGCGGAUUUGAGGGGCUGAAGCUUGAAUAGCCUAGAUGUGAAGGGGAGAUUCAUUUGGAAAAUUCCUUAAGGACUACAUGUCCAUGGAGAAAGGAAAACAUCCUGCUUCCGCGCUGGAUGCUGCCUCAGGUGGAGCAGGCCCGUCUGUCUCUGCCGCAUGAGCAGAAUCAACCGAAGGAGGCCCCUCAGUUGUCUCCGCCGCGUCGACACACUGAGGAGGAGGAGGCUCGGUUGUCUCCGUCGCGUCAACAGACUCAACUGGAGGAGGCCCCUCAGCAGAAUCCUCCUCUGCCUGAGCUGUCUCCGCCGCGUCAGCGGACUCCGCCUCCUCCGCCGUGUCAGCUGACUCUGCCUAAUCAGCAACGGCGGAAGAGACCCGCCGCCACUCCGGCGGCUAGCAGUACAACAAGAAAUAAAUAGAAAGCACUCCCAAGAGUCCCUAAGGCUCUUCCCAAGAGACCCUACGACAUGAUAAGGAGGAAUACGAGAAAAUCGUGGAUGACUAUAAUAAGGCUUUUUUUGCACCGAAACGUCCACCUCCAAAGGACAAAAUUGAUCCGGUAAAAGCGAAGCGCUGUUUGGAUGCCCUUAAGCGACCACCACCACGUCCGCUGAUAUCACACUAUGAGCGAAUUCUUGAAAAUACAUAUGAUCAAGCGAAGCAGUCGGGAAGCUUAAAUACGAGUGGUGCAAGAAGUGGGAAAACAAUUCUGCAACUCGACGAACAGGAGAAGCAAUUGUGCCCCCCACUCAAGGUUUUUACGGAUGUCGCUAAUAUAGAUUCGGGGGUAGUGGCCGCUAAUCCUUGUUUCACUCUUGGUGAUUUCUUAAGCGAAGAUUUACAGUUCAAAAUUGCCCCGACACUAGCCCUUAGAUACGAGCACGAGAAGCCUCACGUCAAACCUGAGUAGUUGAAGGAACUAUCAACGAUGAUGCAAAUACUACAUGACUAGUACUUGAAAACCUGCAAGGAUGGGACCAACAGUAUCUACGUGGUAACUAAAGAUGAGCACUACUUCAAUGGAGAAGAGUCGUUGUACAUUGAGUUUGAAGAAUUCUUUCAGUUAUACAAACAAGACGCCCUCGACAUUACGCUCGUUAGUUCCUAUUAUUUGUAAGUAUUAUUUCGUUAAUUAAGUCUCUAGAUUAACUCAUUCAUUUCAUGUAUAAUUAUCCUCACUUUAUUAUGUAGAUUGAAGAUCCUUGAAUGCAAAAUAGGACAAAUAUAUGACAUUGGGUUCAUUAACCCAAAUACCAUAUAUGAACAUACAGUACUGAAGAUCCCCGUGGAUGCAGAGAAAGUGUUGCUAAAUGUGAUACUUCAACAACACCAAAAAAAUGAAAUACUAUUUCCUUACAAGUUCACGUGAGUGUUGCUAGCUAGUUGUCUUCUGCACAUUUUGUUUCACUUACUCGAGGCUAAGUGUAAUUGAUGAGUUCGAGUGUAGGUUUCACUUUGUUCUGCUAAUCAUUAGGCUUGAGGAGGGAGUAAUAAUUGUCUUGGACUCAUUACGUAAAGACCCUACAGAGUUGGCGCCGAUUAUGGAAAUGCUCCAUAAGUAAGUUCAAUCAUUAUCGCACCAUAUCAACAACUUUCUUUCAUUUCAUGCUAUCAAGUAAUCAUUUUCUUUGUCGUGCACGGUUUGGAAAAAGUUCAGCCACACCACUAGGGGUGAAUGCAAUAAGGCGCUACAAUUUUCCUUCGCCAGAGUAAGUGGUACUAGCUAGUUCCGCGCAUCUCUCAUUCACGUGCAAAGGGAAAUACCAUUACCAUGCUUGAUUAUUAUUUUGAUUGAACUCUAUUCUCGUAAAGUACUGCUCGAGGCAGGGAUCCGCGAAUAAUUUAAGUGCAUACUACGUUUGCGAGUGGGUUCACCAGACGACCUAUGGGAAGGGCAGAUCUUCAAAAGAACUUGAAGUACGUAAACAAUAUUCACAUUUUUAUUUUAUUACCAUCAAUUGUGUUGAGUUUCAUUCAUAUAUACAUAUUGAUCCCGUUCUUUAAAUUAGAUCAUGCGGAUGCGCGAAGACCUCCUACCAACUGAUCACCUAUGAGCAAUUCAAGAGGAAUUGGCGGGAUUCUUUGUUGAGCAUGUCAUACCCACAUAAGGGGAAUAUCAUCAGGAUUUCCUUAUCGAUUUUUGUGGACAGAUAUUAGCUAGUUAGGGAUCGCAAGAGAUGUUAUAUAUUGUAUGUAUGAAUGAUCAUGUACUAUAUGUAGUAGCAUCGAGUUGUUCGACCAAGCACGGAGAAAGAGAGGUCACUUCUAUCUAUAUAUGUUCAUGACGAUGUUGUGUAAUUAAUGGUCCCUUCAUUUCUAUAUGUAGUACCGAGCGUUGAAUUGAAUGAACAACAUAAAAUAAAAUGAAAUCCUAAAUGUAAAAUAAUUGAAGGGUAAACACAAAAAGAAAAGGAUAAACACAAUAUAAAACCCCUAAACCUCUGCUUUCAAAAGAAACAAAAACCCCAGCGUCAAGUAGCUGCUGACGAGUGGCUGCCUUUUAGUCCCGAUUUUUGUUACCAACUGGGACUAUGCAAAUUUAGUAGGGGAAGUAGCAAAUUUAGGACUAUGCAAAUUAUCUCUAUCUUUACAAGCAAUAAAGUCCCUAGCUACUUCCCAAUCCAUAACAUAACCUUUAGGUACAUAAGGUAGUUAAUAUCUAUUAGGAGAGUGAGGUGUAGCAUGCGAUUCAAAAUCUUCAUUAGUUUCAGCAUUUUAAAGUUCUAUAGCUUUAGCAAUAUGAGCAUCAGGUAAUUCAUUCAGUGGCACAAUUUCACCUUCAUCAAAUAUAGCAAUAGUAUCAUCAUUAAUUUCAUAAGUAGCAUCAUCAAGUUCAUGUGACAUAUAAUGAAGAGCAACAGGCGGUGGUGUAACAAGUGAUUCAAAACAGUAGGUGAAUCAAAAGCAGAGCUAGAUGGCACUUCCUUACAUCCUCUCGUACGAGAGGGGAUGAUCUUGGUUCAAGUAUCUUUCAGAUUCUUCAUAGUAGCCUUUGGAUAUCCUCAAGAUAACAGAAUAAAUGUAGUUAUGCUCCUAGGAAACGGGGCCAGAAAAAGGUCUUGAUAACCCACAAGUAUAGGGGAUCGCGACAGUCUUCACGGGUAGCCUUUCAUCCUAAUUUAUUGAUUCGGCACAAGGGUAGACAAAUAAUAUUUAUAGGCCUUGACAGUUGAGUUGUCAAUUCAACCGCACCUGGGAUACCUCUCUGCAGCAAAGGUUUAGUAGCACUUCAAAUAAUAGUAAUAGGAGUAAGAGUGAUAACACCAACUUUGGUAACAACACACUAAAGGAAUUAGCUUCCUUGCCUUCUACCAUAGCAGAUGACAAAGGACUAGGUCACGGACGACAAACACGUUUGCCGUCUGCUGGCUGAUGGCCCCACUUUCGGCACUGAAAUUCACGGUAAUGAGCUUCUUUGUCGUCUGCAAAGACAUAACGGACGGCAAAGAACUUUGUCAUCGGUCAUCCUAGACAAGCAUGGCUGACGGCAGCCUUUGUCGUCCACCAGCUGAUGACAAAGAAGCUCCACCUUUCCUGUUUGCCAGCUGAUGUCACUCCUACCUCCGCCAGCCCCUUCCCUUUGCCAUCUGCCUGCCCUGCCCUUUGUCAUCUGCCAGCCCCUGCCCUUUGUCGUUUGCCUGCCGCUAGAUGAUGCCAAAGAGACCAAAUGGGCCAGACCUGGUGCUCCAAGGUUUGACAGGUAGCUGGCACAAGGAGUCUUUGCCAUCAGCUGGGAGAUGACAAAGUACUUUGCCGUUGGCUGGCAGACGGCAAAGUGCGUGUAUCACCUCUUCUGAAUAUGUUUUCUGUUAUUCCCUCCAUUUUCAAAACAUAUAUAUGAUAUAUAUAGUUUCAAGCACUAAUAUAGGCCAUGUAAUCCGACAAGUACUAUGUAAUAUCCAAUACAAGAGAAUUAUUAAACAAGAGAACACAUAUGUAGGCUAUGAAAAGAACCAACACACAUAGUUUCACAUUGUUCAUCCAUGCAUAUCUUCACAUUGUUCAUGAGUACAAAUCAAAAUAAAAGCUGAACAAUAGCAAUCCAUCAUGCCAGCUUACAUGAAGUGAAUCAAAUCUGCAAAAUGGGAAUAAAAGAGUUAGAAGAAGAAGAAGAAGAAGAAGAAGAAGAAGAAGAAGAAGAAGAAUAAGACUAGAAGAAGAAGAAGAAGAAGACUAGAAGAAGAAGAAGAAGACUAGAAGAAGAAGAAGAAGAAGAAGAAGAAGAAGAAGAAGAAGAAGAAGANNNNNNNNNNNNNNNNNNNNNNNNNNNNNGAGAGAGAGAGAGAGAGAGAGAGAGAGAGAGAGAGAGAGAGAGAGAGAGAGAGAGAGAGAGAGAGAGAAGAGAAGAGAAGAGAGAGGAAGAGAGAGAGAAGAGGAAGAGGAAGAAGAGGAAGAGGAAGAGGAAGAAGAAGAAGAGGAAGAGGAGGAGGAGGAAGAAGAAGAAGAAGAAGAAGAAAACUUAUUGUCAUCGUCAUCACGAAGGCGAAGCACCGGGGUUGCUUCGGCAAGUUUCACCUGGAGAAGGGGUGUGCUAUGCGGCUCAGGAGUUAUGCUACACCAAAAAUCAUUUGC
rnacentral:lncRNA from 1 species